rnacentral:lncRNA from 1 species
AGAAGUCGUCAAACUCGGGGGGGAGUAUCAUAAACUCUUCCCGACACUUUUGUCGCUUUGGCCAGAAGAUGUCAAACCAUGAGCACGAUAGAUCUGUCGCUUCGGCGUGACAAUUUAUGUUUAGGUCCGUGACAAUGUCUUGGGGAAUGCCGAAUCGACAGACUAUGGAACGGUAAAUAAACUUGACUGCCGCAUCCUGAGUGAUUUUCGCCACAGCCUGAGCCUCGACCCACUUUGUAAAGUAGUCUACUGCUACAAAGAUGAAUCGAGCCUGUGAUGUUGAGGGUGGGAAUGGGCCUACGAUGUCCAACCCCCAUCUUGCGAACGGGAUUGAGCUCAGAAUCGGAGUCAUUUCCGUGGAUGGUUUCUGCUGGAUAGGGCUGUGCAGCUGACAUGCUCGGCACUUGCGGACGUAAGUGCGAGCUUCCAACCUUAAGGUGGGCCAAUAGUACCCGAGCCUUAUGAUUUUAAAGGCUAAUGCUCUUCCCCCUUCAUGGAGUCCGCAUGAGCCUUCAUGUACUUCCUGAAGCACCCUACUAGUAUCGGGUUGGGCCAAACAGCGUAGCAAAGGACUAUCGAAAGAUUUUUUGUAAAGUACCCCUCCGACAUCACAGUAUUUUGCUGCUUUGUGUUUUAGUUUUUUGGCCUCCCCUUUGUUACUAGGAAGCACUCCAUUCUGAAUGAACGCCAGUAUUGGUUGCCUCCAGUCCUCUUGAGGGUUGGAAGUGACAGCCAAUACUUGGCACGUGGGCUGGAGUAUAGAGUCCACUAAAAUCUCGCGCUGCCCUCCCUCCCAAGCUGACGCUAGACGUGCUAAAGCGUCAGCGGGUAAAUUUUGAAUUCGAGGGAUUUGCUUGAUUUUGAACUCGGCGAAUUGCUUAGUGAGAUCUACCAUUGCUUCCACAUACUUUGUUAUUUGUGGUUCCUUACAAGCAAAUUCACCAGUGGUUUGCCGAGCCACGAGCUGGGAGUCAGUGCGGAGCGUGACAUUCUCAGCGCCGAGAGUUAUCAGCAGCUUCAGGCCAUGUAUGGCUGCUUCAUAUUCUGCGACAUUGUUAGAAGCCGGGAAGUGAAGUCGGACCGAGUGUUCGUAGUUUUUUCCAUCCGGGCUAUGGAUUUUUACUCCGAUACCCGAGCCUGUGCUGCAACUCGAGCCGUCUACUUCCACAAUCCACGGUUGUGUCAAACUGGGCUGUGUGAGUUCGACAAUGAAAUCCGCUACAACUUGCCCCUUGAUGGCAGUGGCUGGUCGGAAGUCCAAGUCGAACUCACUGAGUUCAAUUGCCCAUUUGGUUAACCUUCCCGAGAUGUCGGGUUUGUGAAGUAGACAACGUAGAGGACACGAUGUUAGUAUAACAAUCGUGUGCGCUAAGAAGUAGGCUCGAAAGCGACGACAAGCGUGGAUUACUGCGAAUACGAUCUUCUCGAUGGGAGAAUAUCGCAGUUCAGCACCUUGUAGUCGCCUCGAGUGGUAGUAGAUAGGGACAUGUUCCUUGUCCCUUUGCGCGAUGAGGACUGCACUCACGGCCUCUUCUGAGGCCUCUAUGUAUAAGUAUAGGUCCUCUCCCUUUUUGGGUGAUGUCAGCAUCGGGAGUGAGGACAUGUGCGUCUUUAGUUUCGCAAAUGCCUCCUCGCAUUCUGGUGUCCAAGUGAUACUACCCUUAGCCGCAGUUUUCAGCAAUUAGAAGAACGGUUUGCACUUGUCAGCCGUUUGCGAUAUGAAACGACUGAGCGCAUUGAUUCGACCGUUCAACCUUUGCACUUCUCGGAUUGUACGGGGGGCUUCCAUAUCAAGGAUAGCUUGGAUUUUGUCGGGAUUAGGUUUGAUCCCGUGCUGACCUACAUAGAAACCAAGGAACUUGCCUUCCUUGAUUCCAAAUACGCACUUGGCUGGGUUGAGCUUCAUUCCAUAUUGCUUCAAUGUCUCAAGGGUUUCUUUCAGAUCCUCAGGGUGCUUUUCCAUGCUUGACGACUUGACUAGGAUGUCAUCGACGUAAGCGGAAACGUUGCGCCCGAUCUGGUUUGCAAAAACCUUGUCCAUUAAGCGUUGAAAUGUAGCCCCAGCAUUCCUUAAGCUGAAUGGCAUUACCCUAUAACAGAAAGUCCCUGAGUCCGUGAUGAAGGAUGUUUUUUCCUCAUCAGGCUCAUGCAUCAGGAUUUGAUUGUAUCCUGAGUGGGCAUCCAUCAUAGAGAGGAGCUCGUUACCGGAUGCUCCAUCGACUAGUUCGUCGAUGGAUGGCAACGGGUAACUGUCCUUGGGGCAUGCUUUAUUGAGAUCCGUGAAAUCAAUGCACAUGCGCCAUUUGCCAUUGGGCUUCUUGAUCAGAACGGGGUUGGCCAACCAAGUCGGGUAUCGAACUUCCCGAAUGUGCCCUGCAUUCAAGAGUUUCGAUAUUUUCUCAUUGGCUGCCUCCCGCCUGUCAGAAGUGAGUACUCGACGUUUUUGGCGUCGAGCUGGAAUGGAUGAGUCGACAUUCAGUUUGUGUGUCACGAUCUGACGCGCAAUCUGUGUCGGUGCCUCACCCUCCCAAACGAACCUGUCCUGGUGCUCCUCCAGGACAGUCACAAGCUUGGCUUUUAGGUCAGGGGGUAACCCCUUCCCUAGUGCCACAUGUCCCCCCACCAGCUGGUAUACCUCGGUCUCGUCCACAGGUUGUAAUUUUUCCCUCUCCUCAGUGUUAGGCGAGGCGUGGACGAGCAUGUUUUCGAGUUUUGUCAGCUGAGUUGCCUUCUUAUACCCUUGUCUAGAAUCUUUUUGUGAUCCUUUGACAGUUGCAACGAACCCGUUUACUGGGUAUCGAAUGCAUUGGUGAUAAGAAGACGGGACUGCUUGGAUUCCAUGGAUGAAGGGGCGUCCGAAAAUGCCAUGGAAAGUAGAUUCUACCUCCACUACUAUGAAGCGGCAUGUUCGGCUAACCCUUCCUCGCUUGGAACCGAUGGAUACCUUCAGGUCAAUAACACCGGCCACUGGGGCGGCGAUGUUAGUGAAACCGUAGAUGGCUUCCUUACAGGGGGAUAGUUCCUCCCUUUUAAGGCCCAUCUUGGUAAAAGUAUCCAUGUAGAGGAUAUCCGCAGAGCUACCGCUGUCGACAAUCAUCCUCUCGACUCGGGAAUUAGGACCGAUGUCUGCUUGGAUCACGAGUGGAUCCUCGUGAGGUUGCAAGACAUCGUCCAGGUCCUCUUCGAAGAAGUAUAUUGACUUCUCCUCGCGGACCCUCUUUCCGUUGUCUCGAGGUGUUGAUUGUUACAUCAGCACCUUUCGGGAGUACCCCUAUUCUGGCCAACGGAUCCACCACCAAAUAUCAUAUUGAUGGUCUUCCGCUGGCGGUUCUCGCUGUUGUCGCUAUCUGGCGAAGGAGAGCGUGGACGCUUCCCCUUUGGGUCAGAUUUGCAGUUGUCCCUUCCUCGGGAUUUCUUGACGAAGUUGCCAAGUUCACCCUUAGAGAUCAGCUGCUCGACGAAGGUCGAGAAAUCCCUACAGUGGUCUGUCAAGUGGCCGCAGUCUUUGUGAAAUUCACAGUAUUUCCCAGAUUGCGUGCGGCCCUCUUUGCCUGCAGGGUCUAAAGAGCGAGGGACAGGUAGGUCCGCUCGACCCUUUAAUUUCUCAAACAGCUCGCCCUUGCUUAUUAUAAGCGGGGUGUUCCUUUUCCAUAGCGGAACUGCACCCUUAGACGGUUUGCUGGUUGAGGUCUGGUAUACCUUGUUAUCAUGCCUAGGCUUCCAUUCUUUUUUGGAAGGCUCGGCCUUGUUGCUGGUAUACCUGUUAGAGGUGUCGCGGAAAUUGUUGUUUCCGCUAAACCCCUUCCUCUCAUACUUAGGCUUUUUAUAGCUAGGAGUCCCAAGUUCAGCUAGCUUUUUCUCAUCCUCCUCUUCCACCUCAAUGUACAAUUGAGCGCGUUGGAAGAGGUCGGGCAGAGAACUCACCUUGUAGAGAGUCAGAUUUUGGGCCAGAGGGGAGUAGGGGACUAAUCCUCUAAUAUAUCCCGCUAUGGCCACACUCGGGAUUAGGUCGUUCACCUCUGUCAUCAUAGUGGUGAACUUGACCGUGUAAUCCCUCAGAGACAGUUUGUCCUGUCUCAGUGCCAGGAGUGCGUUGGCACUAUGCUUUAUCCUUAUCAUCCCCACGUGUUGGGCGAUGAAUUUGGAUGAGAGGUCUGCGAAGCUGGUGACUGAGCCAGCUGGCAGACCAGAGAACCAUCGAUAAGCGCUGCCCUUGAGAGUGCCGGGGAAUGCCCGACACAGCAGCCCAUCAUCGAUGGUUUGUGGUUCCAAGAUGUUGAGAUAGAGGUUCACGUGAUCUUCUGGAUCACUUGAACCGUCGUAGGCCUCGAUUCUUGGUACCCGCCAGUUGGGUGGGAAAACACCCUUUAAAAGGUCCUCGCUAAGAGGAGCACUUUUAACCCUCAGGACUUCGUGCGGGUUGCCGACAGCUGGGUCGGUGGCCAACUUCCGCCGAAGAUCCUCUACGAACCGAGUAGUAAGAGUCCUUUCAGAGCGACUCUUACUGGGUCCCGUCUUGGGACGGGAACUCUGUUUUUUCUCCGCAGAUGGAGAAUAUAUGGACCCAGAUUCAUCCGCUCUUUCGCGGAUGGUAGUGGUCCUAUGACUCCUCGCUUGCUCGAGGUUGGUCAUCCUUCUUUCAAUGUUGUCCAUGAAACUGAACAACCUUUCUUCCAAGGUGGGUGGAGCCUUAGGCACUAUGUGUUCCUCGACGAGAGGAGGAACCGAGUUUGUUUCCACAGGGUGAGCAUUGGGUCCCCUAGGUCGGGAUUGCUCACCCUGUUCCAGCUCAGUUGCUGGCAUUUUUCCCUUACUCCUUGUUGCGUAAGGGUGCUUCUGCUUUUCGAUGAUUGCCAUGAAAGCGGAAGCGAAGAAGUACCAAAGCAGAGAGGUACCUGACUGAGCCUGUUGGGAAAACAAGAGCGUUAAGUGUUAACUCGGCGAGUUAGGUGUAUUCCCGAACAAGGUCGUGGACAGCACUCUUAGAUAGCAGACGAUAUUCCGGAUCGGACGAUUCUCAAGGAUAAGUCGGCGAUUUAAGGCUAAAGCGGACCUUAACCGAGAAUCGGACGAUCUAAGUCGACAAUUUUUUGACAAACUCGGCGAGCUCUUGGGAGAGCUCGAGCCGGAUUUUUAAAAAAUCGCGAUUACGACGGGAUACCGGUGGUUCGUUAGUCCCACAGACGGCGCCAGCUGAUGAAGCACUGAAUCUGCUACCAGGGCCCGCGGUGGUGCGAGGUUGAUGCUGGAGGCUUUGGAGUCCAUGACGCACGCUCUACGUCAAAAUACCUGCAAGUGGAAACUAGGCGAUUCUAAUGAGACUCGCCGAGUUUCGUAGUAGUGCUCUGGUGUGAGAGUGGAACUUGAAUCGUGCCUUUGAGUGUCCCCUUGGGACCGACCUUUUAUAGGGUCUCGGAGGGCGCACUCAUCGGCGGAGAUCGCGCCUAUGGUCAUAUAUGGUAACAUUUAUGACGUUGGCUGCCGCCGAGUAACGGUCGUAAGUCGCCGAUUCAGGUAUGGAAGUCGCCUAGUUAAGGGCUAACUCGGCGAGUUUCUAGGGCCAAGUCGUACAGUCUACCAUACUGCCGAUCUUGCCUUAACUCGGCGAGUUAUCCUGUCUGUCGGCGACUUGGUAGUCCAAUCGGGCGACUUACGGGCUAACUCGGCGAUCUGGACGAAGAACGAUGUUCCGCACCGUGGGAGCUCUCCGGGGGUCCUGCCUUAGCGACGGAGCCCUAGUCCUUGUUGAGAGGCGUUGAUGGGUAGUGACUGGUGUAAUCAGGCAUGUCUCACCAAUACUCCCCCCAGAAAUUCGACGAUCUCUGGCCGACGCGAUAGAAAUGUCGGGAGAGCUUGUGAUACUCCCCCCAGAAAUUCGACGAUCUCCAGCCGAAGCGAUAGAAAUGUCGAGAGAGCUUGUGAUACUCCCCCCAGAAAUUCGACGAUCUCCAGCCAAAGCGAUGGAAAUAUCGGGAGAGCUUGUGAUACUCCCCCUUGAAAUAUGACGAUUUCUGGCCGGAGCGACAGAAAUGUCGGGAGAGCUUGUGAUACUCCCCCUUUAAAACCUGCAUAAAAAUGUGUUCUGGCUGAAGUGGUAGGAGUGUCGGAGAGAGUUUGUGAUACUCCCCCAAAUUGGGACAACUUCUGGCCGAAGCGACAGAAGUGUCAUGGAGAGUUUGUGAUACUCCCCUUGGAAUGAGACUACUUUUAGCCAAAACGACAGAAGUGUUGAUGAGAGUUUAUGAUACUCUCCUCCAAAGAUGGGCGAGACGACUUCUGGCUAGAUUGACAGAAGCGUCGGAGAGAGUUUGUGAUACUCCCCCUGAAAUCGUGCCGUUGUGACAGAUUGUAGAGUUAUGCUUUGGAUGUUUGUGCCCAAGGCGAUAGAAGUAUUGAGGAGAGCUUGUGAUACUCCCCUCGAAAAUCAUGUGAACCCGAAAAUAUUGGUGUAACGGAGGUAUUGGAAGGAGUUUGUGAUACUCCCCCCGAGAAUCAUGUCGUCGUGACAUAUGAAAUGACUUUUCAGAAUAUUUUGCAAUCUUUCUAUUUUGAUUAUCAAUGAACUAUCAUUUGUCUUUUCUUUGCCAAUCUUCUAUAUAAACCACCUUUAAAUUGUAACCUAGGCUCGAAACUAGAUUCACAAGCCGUAACUUAUCCACUCUGGACGUAAGUUAGACUCUGCUAACCCUCGCUUAGCCACUCUGGACGUAAACUUGGUCGUACGAAUCGUAGUUCAGUCGUCAGUUAAAUUAGCGGAUAAUUUAUAUCUCCAAAUUAACGCAGAGCUGCAAAGAAUAGUACAAAUAAACCAAAAAUUAAGAUGCACAAUAUUAUUUGGAAUCCUAGGGUUGGAUCCGCAAUUUAGGACUACAAUUUUAGAUUUGAACCCUGGUGCUUUAGUCAAGCUUCGGCCAUAGCGAUAGAGUGACUCUCCAUCAAGGCCAUAGCGACAAGAUGGGAUAUAAUCAUUAAGGCCACAGCGACAAAAUUGACACUAGGGUACCAUUAAUUGUAGUCGCAAAUAUUUAGAAUCACAUGAUUUGAUUCGUAAAUCGGAGUCGUAAUUUAGAUUUUUAAGUCGCACCUAGGACUUGUAAAUCGUAAACUUGACUUGUAAUCGUAAUUUAGACUCUUUGUCGUAAAUUAGAUUUUGUAAUCAUCAUUUAGACUCGUGGGUCGAAGCUAGAUCUGAGUAACGGGUGUCAUCCAGCCAAAGCGAUGGAUUGAUCCCUAUGAGAUUAUCCCUUGUUGGUUUGCCGUAUUGAUCCUAGAACCGUAACGUAGGCUCGAAACUGGACUCGUAAAUCGUAAUUUAGACUCUUUGUCGUAAAUUAGAUUUUGAAAGAGAACUUAGAUUCGUAAAUAUUUGGAAUCUUAGGGUUUGAUUCGCAAAUAUUCGUGAGAGUCGUAAUUUAGAUUCUUAAGUCCCAUCUUGACUCGUAAAUCGUAAACUAGACUUGUAAUCGUAAUUUAGACUCUUUGUCGUAAAUUAGAUUUCGUAACUAUCACCUUGACUCGUGGGUCGAAUGGAUGAUAGAUAAGGUCGAAGCGACGGAUGUCACCCAGCCGAAGCGAUGGGUGAUUGAUCCGUCUGAAGUGAUGAAUGAUUAUUCUAAAUGUGGCAUACAUACCGCGUAAUACCUUCACGGGUUAAAGGAGACAUCUACUUAGAAUAAAAUCGUUGUUACAUGGUUGAGAACAAUAGAAGCGACAACCAAAAGAAUAGAUGAGUUUCUGAUGUUUGGUUGCCACUGACGGAUAUAUAGCCUAUUUAGUUACUCUGGCUAAUCCUAUCUUUCUUCUGACAGAUGAUAGUUACCCACUAUUAGCGUGACGCACUUGGUUGUGAGUGUGAACUGUGGCUUUGGUUGUCAUCACUGUCAUAGGAUUGAGAGCGUAAGCUAUGGCUUUGGUGGCCAUAACUGUUACCAGACUGAGAGUGUGAGUUAUGACUUUGGUGGCCAUAACUGCUAUUGGAUUUAGGGUGUGAGCUAUGACUCUGGUGGCCAUAACUGCUACCCGGAGACUCCUCGAUGUAUCGAAGAUGAGUAGUCGAGGUUUCGGAUUGGGAACUUGUAUCCUCGUACGCAUCUUCUUUAGCAUAGCGAGGUUUCUUCCGGCUGGACGGCUCGAGUUCGUCCAGCUUGUCAUUGUUCUCCUCUUCUAUCUCAAUAUACGAUUGAGCUUGUUGGAAGAGGUCGAGCAGGGUCUCCACUUUAUGGAGCAUCAGAUUCCGGGCCAAAGGGGAGAAGGGUACCAACCCUCUCACGUAUCCUGCUAUGGCCAGACUUGGGAUUAGGUCGUUCACUUCUGUCAUCAUCGAAGUGAACUUAAUCGUGUAAUCCCUCAGAGACAGCUUGUUCUGUCGUAGUGUCAGUAGUGCGUUGGCACUGUCAUUUAUUCUGAUCAUCCCCACAUGUUGGGCGAUAAACUUGGAAGAGAGGUCCGUCAAGCUGGAGACUGAGCCAACCGACAGACUGGAAAACCAUCGAUAUGCGUUGCCUUUCAGAGUGCCAGGGAAGGCCCGACACAACAACCCAUUAUCGGUAGUUUGCAGCUCCAAGAUAUUCAGGUAGAGGUUAACAUGAUCCUCAGGAUCUGUCGUUCCAUCGUACGAGUCUAUCUUCGGACACCGCCAAGAUUGCGGAAAAGGUUUUCUCAGGAGGUCCCUAUGAAAGGGUGCCCUUCCUAUUCUGAGAAAAUCAUGUGGGUCCCUUAGAUCAUACUUGUCUUUGCGAAGCACUUCCUUGAUUACCCUAUUCAUGAGUGUGGCAUCGUAAUCCGCACGAGUCGUGGAACUCGAAGGUACACCUGAGUGAUGUACUGCGGACCUGUGGUGAGAACCGAGAUGCUUGUGUCUUUUUGUUUCACCGUGGUUGUCUCUCAUAGGAGAGUGAUGCGAGUUGGAUUUGGGUUGCCCUGAGAUUGCAGGACUCUUUCCCUUGAGCUCUAGAAGCUCCUUGGAUAUCCUUGAUUCGGACCGAUGAUGCGUACUUAAGUUUGUCUUCCUCAAAUGUGGGUUAGACUUGCUUGUCGUACAUCGUAUGGUGGUCCGGCUCCUUGAAGCCUCUAGGUUGGUUAUCCUUUUGUCCAACUUCAACAUGAGAGCAUGCAUGUGCGCAAGCCUUUCCUGUGUUGUCGGAGUUGGGUUCACACCCCCAUUUAGUGGGAGUGGUGAGGACACCUCAUAUGUAGGUGAUGGUGCAUUAGAGGUUGGUACAGUACGAUGACCAACCCUUCUGCUAGAAGCUCCUACCGUAGUAGAAGUGGCGAGAGCUUUCUUCUGACCUUUAGCAACAGGAUCCAUAAAUAGCCGGGAUGGUUGCUUCUACUGGGCUGAAGCAACGGGCAACGAGUAGAAGUUCUGUCGGAAGCUAUGGGUAGGUACCUGUCCCCCCCGGGUGCCUCAAAACAGAAAAAAAUUUGUAUGAUAUUUCUUUGCAGUUUUGUGACCCCCUUGAGGAGUACUAUUAGUCUCCAAAGUUUGAAAUUAGCAAAAAAUAUCGCAAUUUUUUUGCAAUUUUUCUGCAGAAAAUCGUGCUGCCGGAGGUGGUUUUCGGGAUGCCUGCUUAGACCUAUCCCAGAAAAGAUUCCUUGCACUGUUGGGAAAUUCUGCUCUUCUGUACUCGUAGAGAAAACUUUUUUCACGUGAAGUGUGGUCGUAGAAUUUCAAAAUCAGAUCUGGGUAUUCCAGAGGUGGACCGACAAAAUCACUGGAAGUAAAAAAAGGUAAAAAGCCCUAUAAUCUUUUUUUUUUUACCGAAACGACGAGGCGUAUCCAACCGUGGCGAUGGAUUUUCGUUUUGGUAAAAGAGCUGGGCUAUGAGUGGUCUUAUUCAGCCAAAGCGAUGAAUGAAGACGAUGAUCGAAUGGACGAGUUUGCCCCUAGAUAGGCGAGUUUGCCUUUAGAUAGGCGAGUUUGCCUUUAGAUAGGCGAGUUUGCCCUAGAUAGGCGAGUUUGCCCUUAGAUAGGCGAUUUUUGCUUGGGAAAAAUUCAACCUAUGCGAAGACGUAAGUUCCAAAGCAAAGGAUGACUUAACCGAGCUUGUUCAAAAAACAAAGAAAUAAGUCGGCGAGUUAGGGGAAAACUCGGCGACUUUAGAUUUCGAGGUGUUUUUCGAACAAAGUCGUGGACAACACUCUUAGCUAGCAGACGAUAUUCCGGAUCGGGCGAUUCUCAAGGCUAUGUCGGCGAUUUAAGAAUAAAUCGGACCUGAGCCGAGAAUCGGCUAUCGAUCUAAAUCGGCGACUUAGUUGACAAAGUCGGCGAACCCUCGGGGAGAGCUCGAGCCGGAAUUAGCAAAAAAUCGCGAUUACGACGGGAUACCGGUGGUUCGGUAGUCCCACAGACGGCGCCAGCUGAUGAAGCACUGAAUUUGCUACCAGGGCUCGCGGUGGUGCGAGGUGAUGCCGGAGGCUCUGGAGUCCACGACGCGCGCUCUACGUCAAAUACCUGCAAGUAGAAACUAGGCGAUUCUAGUGAGACUCGCCGAGUUUCUUAGUGAUGCUCUGGUGAGAGUGGAACUUGUGUUGUGCCUUUGAGUGUCCCCUUGGGAUCCUUUUUAUAGGGUCUCGGAGGGCGCAUUCGAAGGCGGAGAUCGCGCCUAUGGUCAUAUAUGGUAACAUUUAUGACGUUGGCUGUCGCCGAGUAACGGUCGUAAGUCGGCGAUUCAGGUAUGGAAGUCGCCUAGUUAAGGCUAACUCGUCGAGUUUCCAGGGGCAAGAUGUGCAGUCUACCAUACUGCCGAUCUUGGCCCUAACUCAACGACUUAUCCUUUAUGUCGGCGACUUGGUAGUCCAAUCGGCGACUUACGGGCUAACUCGGCGAUCUGGACGAUGAACGUGUUCCGCACCGUGGGAGCUCUCCGGGGUUCCGGCCAAAGCGACGGAACCCUAGUCCUUGUUGAAAGGCGUUGCUGGGAGUGACUGCCGUAAUCAGGCAUGUCUCACCAAUGUGGUUGCAUUAUUUUUUGAAUGAUCUGCAGGUAAAACCAUCAGGACAAACAAUGUUACAUUGUGACAAUAUAGCUGCAAUCCACAUUGCAACAAAUCCAGUUUUUCAUGAACGUACAAAACACAUAGAGAUUGACUGCUACCUAAUUCGUGAUCAUCUUCAAGCUGGAUUAUUUAAACUACAACAUGUCUCAACAACAUCACAAAUUGCAGACAUCUUAACAAAACCAACAAGCCUUGAAGCACUACGCAAUCUACUACCCAAGCUGGGAUUAUAUGAUAUACACUCUCCAGCUUGAGGGGGGGGGUAUUGAGAUAUUAAGAUAGUUUAAGGUUUAUUAUCAAGUUUAAUUCAAAUUAAGUUAAGUGAGGCCCAACUCGGAUGUUGGCCCAAUAGAUAGUUAGGGUUUAGUAUAAAUAGUUAAGUUGUAAUAUUUUAUUGAUUACUUUUUCAAAUACAAAAACAAACCCUUUGGGUUCUCUCCCAAACGACUCUUUGUCUCUCCCUGACGACUCCUUCGUCCAAACCCUAACGGCGACUCCGGUCUCACGCUCCACUCCGGUCUUACAUCUUCUUCAUGGAGUACUGAUAGUUAGAUAGUUAAUGGAGGUUGUUAGUAUAUUGUAUAAUAAUAUAAAUAGAACUAUAAUGAUAUACAAUCAAGGUAUUCGAUCAAGGGUGAAGGUAGCACCAUCACUCCACGUUUUGUGAUCUUGAGUUCUUGACUUCUCGAUAGGUACCGCAACAACUUCUUUAGUGCCGCCCAAUGACCGGCUGUAGGUGCGUUCAGAAAUUGAGAAAGUUUUGUUCACCGCAUACUGGGUAUCGGGUCAGGUCAAUGUCAGAUAUUGCAACGAUCCGACCACCCGUCUGUAUUUUGUAGCAUCUGGUUCUUCAUCGUUAUUUGCCGGAAAAUCCCCACGUGCUAGCAUUGGAGUCACUGAUGCUUUCACGUUCGUCAUCUCACAACUUACCAAUAGAUUCGUUAAAUAUUGUUGUUGGGACAGCUUUAUCUCGUUUUCCGAUUUUUAUACAUGGAUGCCUAGAAAGAACUUAACUUCGCCAGUUCUCUAAUUGCGAAACUCUUCUCCUAUCUUCUUGAUUAUUGAGUUUAUUAUUUCUGGCGAUGGACCUGUUACAACAAUAUCGUCAACAUAUGUAAAGAGAUAAACCAAUUCACCUUCAACAUCGUAAAUGAACAAUGACGAGUCUGAAUAACUCUCUUUAAAUUUGAGCCGAAUCAAGAAAUCUCGCAAUCUCCGGUACCACAUCCUCGGAGAUUGCUUCAACCCGUAUAAUGAUUUCUGUAAUAAGCACACAUGGUUUGAAAACUCAGUAUUUUCAAACCCCACUGGUUGUGUUGCGAUGAUUCGUUCUUCUAGAUUCCCAUGUAAAAACGCGUUUGAUACGUCAAUUUGUUUUAAUUCUCAAUUUCUUGAAAUCGCGAUUGUCAAAACUAUUCUGAUCGAAUUUGCUUUUACUACCGGGUUGAAUGUUUGAUUAUAAUCGCAACCUUCUGUCGUAAUCCGUUUGCCACCCAUCUUGCCUUAAACCUUUGAACUGAUCCAUCCUCAGCUUGUUUAAUUUUAAACACCCACUUGGUGUUGAUGAUCCUAUCUUGUUUCGUUCGUGGAAUAAGUUUCCAAGUGCGAUUUCUGAUGAGUGCGUCAAAUUCUUCUUGCAUGGAUGCCUUCCAUUCUGGCUGCUCUAGUGCGUAUUUUGCCGACUUUGGGAUUUGAAUUGGCGUUGUUGAGGCAAUGAGUCCAUACCUUAGAUUUGGUUUGAAUAUGCCUCGUGGUGCUUGUGUGACCGGUCUCUCUUUCUCCGGCGGUUCUUGUCCGGUGCCCGUGUCACUUGUAUCGAUCUGUUGCUGACUCGCUUCAUCUCUUUCAUUACUUUCGGGUUGGGAGUCGUUGGGAAUCUGGAUCUCGGAUUCUAUCCUCGAGUCUCGUUGGUUUGAUGUUGGAUCCUGAUUUCUUGAGUCCGUUCCUCUCUCUUAAAUUUUGAUCAUGCAUUUCAUUUGUUUGGAUUUGAAUUUUAUUUUUGUGGCCCGUCUCCAAUAUCCCCAUGUCGGUGUCGAUAUUUUUAUUUCCGGACUCGUUGUUUUGUAUUUUUUCUUGCCAUGCCACAACUUUUUGUUUAGAGUGAAGUCAUCUUCUAUGAACCUCACGUUCUUGGAGAUAUAUAUUUUUCGUUCCUUUGGACUAUAACAAAGAUAUCUGUCAUGUUGUUGUGGAUAACCAAUGAACACUACACAAGCAAUAGAUUUAUUAUCCAAUUUAUUUCGUCUUUGAUGUCGUAAAUAUGGAUAACACCUACUCCCGAAUAUUCUGAGUUUAUUGUAAUCUGGAGCACGUCCAAACAAUGCUUCUGAUGGCGAAAUCCCUUGAAGUAUCCUUGUUGGAUUCUGAUUGUAAAGAGUUGCUGCUGCGAGUACGGCAUAACUCCAGAAUCUGUUCAGCAUAUUUGCAUAGUGUAGCAUGGUAAGGACUGUAUCAACAAGAUGCCUGUGAUAUCUUUCCACCGAUCCCAUUGAGGGUGAUCAUAUGGACACGAUAAACGAUGUGUAAUUCCAGAUUGUUCCAGAAUUUUUGUUAAUGCCACAUAUUCUUUUGCAUUAUCGGUUUGAACGGACUUAAUCUCGUAAUCAGUUUGUUUUUUUAUCAAUAUCUUGAACUUCUAAAAUAUGUCGGUAACAUCAGAUUUCAUUCUUAAUGGAAAUACCCAUUUGAAAUUUGCUACCGCAUCUACGAAGUUUAUAUAAUAUUUAUAACUUUCAAUAGACUCUACUGGUGCCGGUCCUCAGAUAUCUGAAAAUAUAAGUCGCAAAGGAAAAUACGUAGUAGUACUAUUCUUGCGAGGUAAAUUGUGACUUUUGCACCAAACAAGAAUCACAUUUAGCAAUGUUCGUACAGUUUGCAUUAUUAGGUAAUUGAGAUUCAUUAACUAAUUUUUUAAUUGCUCUUUCGAGUAAGUGUCCCAAUCUAGCAUGCCAUAAGCUUCCUUCUUGUUUUUCAGCUAUCAACGCCUGUUGAUCAUUAUUCAUGCUCAGCUUCAUCUUGUAUAAGCCUCCUACAACAUCUCCCUCAGUUAGACAUUCAUCAGUAUCUAGAUCGUAAAUUCUCACCUUCUGUUUGUCAAAUUUCACAUACACUUUAUUUUCAGAACAUAAUUGAUGAAUGGAUAACAAAUUUCUCGAUGCUUUCGGUACUAGAAGGAUCUCUUUUAGAAUUAAAUUUGACGCGACCAAUUUACCCACUUUUUGAAUUUUCAUCUCACCUCCGUUAGCCGUAUAAACCGACUCAUUACCUGAAUAAUUGACAAAUUUACCUAAUGAGUUACCUGCAUUUGUAAUACUCGCCCCCGUAUCUGGGUACCAGACGGUAUGUACGAGACCUGAUGUUAAAUUUGCCACGUAACCCGGAUUAUUUGUAGUAGUUGACGUAUUUAAUCCAGUUGGAAUAAGACGUCGAGAAUGCGAUAAGGCUGGAAAUCUUGUGAAGUUCACCCGAUGGUAGCAAUAUCUUGCUCCGUGUCCUUUCUUUAAGCAAAUUUGACACGGAGACUUCUCUUUGCGAUCAUCAUAUCAUGCUUUAGUGGCCGCAUUUGCUUCGAUCUUUAAUAUUGUUGGUGAGAAUUGCAGGUCGUGGUCCAUUAGUAGUUGCUUCAAUCGUGAGAAUGUCAAGGUGGGAUCCAUUCUAGUUGUAACCGAUGUUACAAACGGCUGGUACUCUAGCCCCAAACCGCCCAAGGCUAUGAGAAUGAUUUGAGAGUCUUUUAUCUUUUCUCCGGUCGCUGCCAACUUAUCUUUGGCAAUCGUUAUCUUUUUCAAAAAUUCAGUCAUGGACAUACCUUCUUUCUUGAUAUUUUGGAGCUAAAAACGGAGAUGAAUUAGUCACGUUUGGACUCGGACGCGAACAUCUCAUUAAAGUGUCAUCUCAACAAAAGUCAACAGUAAAAGUCAACAAUCAAGCUUCCAAAGUUCCUCAAGUUUCUCAUUUUGUUUGAGAGGAUUGUUUUAAAAUCAGUACUAAAGUAUAAGAAAAAGUUUUAAUUUGAGUUUAACUAAAAAACUUAAGGUUCAAUUUUAUAAAGUUUUUUCAAAAAACUUUUAGUUGUUAAAUCUAUCUUAAAAACAUGAUGAUAACUGCAAGUUUACUUUAAAAUUUGAAAAUUUCGUGAACGAUUGUAUAUAGUUAGAUGUAACAGUUCAAUUAGAACUAGACACUGUUAUCAAAAGACUCCAGGAUGACCAGGGAUUAUCAGAGCAGGAAGAGGUGACCACUAUUGAAGCCACUACUGAAGCACGACCAAACAAUUUUAAUCAACUUCUGUUUUCCCCAACUCCGACUCCCUAGGGAGAAUUCUUUUCCAAACCUCCGACUCCCCAAUUGGGAGAAUUCCGUUCACGCCCUGCAACGGCGACGAAUGUAACAUUGGUGCUUUUUCAACGAGAGUUGAACGAUCUUCGGAACUGACCAAAAGAUCACAAGUCGAAGAUAACUAUAAAAAUUGAAAAUUUAGCAGGGCUUGUUCCAGGCCUGAACUGGACUAGAACAGGGAAGCAAGAUUCUUGAUUUCGUAAAUUCGAGUUAUAAAUUUUGAUUGAAUUGUUUUGAAUGACAGAAGCAGGUGAGACAAACGAUUCGCUCGAAGACAUUCGUGAGAAGCUGGGGAAGGUAGUAACGGACCAAUCUGCACGGCUAUCCAGAUCGACAAGAUUCGGCCAUCGCCAAUAUCUAAGACAAGAUUGGGAACCUGGCGAUGAUGAUGAAGGAAAUACAUGCCUCAAUGGGAUUGGUACAAAGUCCGGACGGCUCAGGGUAAAAGACAUCUAAACAAAUCAAAUUAGAUCUGCCAAAAUUUUCUGGAAUUAGACGGGUGGAUUUUUCAAGCGGAGGAAUACUUCGCGUUUCACGGAAUUUCAGAUGACUCAAGAAUCCAGAUCGUCGAAUUCCAUAUGACGAAGGCUGCUCUAAGUUGGAUGCGCGGGCUUAGACAAAACAAACUAUUAACGACAUGGGAGAAAUUUACGGAGGACCUCCGGAAAAGAUUUGAGGGAUCAGUAUACGUCGACAAACUACAAGAACUGUCCCGACUGCAAUAAACUUCAUCCGUUGCGAUUUAUCUAAAACAAUUUGAGGAGUUAUUAAACGGCGUAUUAGGACAAUCGGAGGCAGCCCUGAUCAGUUUUUUUGUGGGAGGCUUGAAUCCGGAAUUGAUGGGGGAACUCAAGAUUCGGGAACCAAUGUCACUGCGGAAGGCCUUCGCGUUGACUAAGGUGUAUGAGGAACAUCGAAGACUGGGCAAAGGCCGAGGUUUAACGUCAAGUACGGUGGCAACAGAACCAUUGAUCAAAACAGUACUAGUGGGGGCCAGAGGAGUUCCGAUCGUGAGGAAAAUGUUAACUAUUGAAGAGUGCAAGGAACGCACGGCCAAGGACCUGUGUUUCAAUUGCGAUGAGUCCUAUUCACCCGGUCACAGAUGUAAGGGACUCCUAAAUCGAAUGGACGUGGAGCGAGAUUGUUUGGUAGAGCUGGUCGAGCAACACGACGCAGAGGAAACCGGAGACACAGCGGAAGAUUCAAUAACUACCACAGAGAUCAGUCUUCAUGCGUUUUCUGGAACAUUCAAUCCAAGGACGUCUGCGAGGUUUGAUACAGGGGAGGCCGCUAGCAGUAUUGAUCGACAGCGAGAGCACACAUAAUUUUAUCCAAGAAGAGGUAGCGAAUCUGCUAGGUAAGCCUGUAUAUCGGUCGGAUUCGGAUCGGAUAUGCAGGUAUCCGAAUUCGAAUAAUUAUCCGGAUAUCCGAAUCCGACCGAAUAAAAUCCGGAUUUGAAAAUUUGAAUUUGAAUUCGAAUCCGGAUAAUCCGAAUCCAAAUAAUAUCUGAAUCCAAAUAACUUUAGGGUUAGUAUUAGGAUUAGGGUUAGGAUUUAAUAAUUAUAAGUUAAUAAGUUAUAAAGCUUUAUAAUUAAUUAAAUAUAACUUAGGUAAUUAGGUUUAAGACUUUAAGUGUUUAAUGAUUUAUAAUAUAAAUAUAUAAUAUAAUAAUAUUAAUUUAUUAUAUAUUUAUCCGGAUAUCCGAAUCCGAAUAUCUGAAUCUGAAAUUUUUAAACGAAUUCGGAUUUUAUCGGUGGAUUUUCCGGAUAUCUGAAUCCGACCGAAUAAAAUCCGGAUUUCAAUUCAGGUAUCCGAAAAAUCCGAAUCCGGAUAGUCAUAUUCAAAUUCUGGUAUACCAUUUACAGGCUUACGGCUAGGAUUAAAGAUGCAGGAGCUGCCGGCGUUUAAAGUGUUCAUAGGGAGUGGAGAGUACCUGGUAUGCAAGGAGGUGUGUCGGUAGGUUUCGAUUUCCAUCUAAAACACGGCCAUCGUCGAAGACCUGUUUGUUCUGGCCAUGGGAGGAGCAAACAUGGUUCUGGGAAUUCAAUGGUUGGGUAAAUUGAGACCGGUUACGACCGACCAUAAAGAAUUAAGCAUGGAGUUUUGGGAUGGAGCACGGAAGGUUCGACUACAAGGGGACCCCCAUCUGGCCGAUUCAGAGAUUUUAAAAUCGGGACUAAGGAGGCUAAUGGCAAAAGGUGAGAUCGGAUUCUUCUGUCAGUUAAGAUGUGAGGAGGAACGGAAGGAGAUCGAAGCAUGGCCAGAGCUGACCAAUGUAUUAAAAUAGUAUGAAGAUGUUUUAGCUGAACCUCAACAACUGCCACCGGACCGGCAAACCAAUCACCAGAUACUGCUACUUCCAGGCUCACAACCCAUCAAUGUUCACCCAUAUCAGAAGAAUGAAAUUGUAAGACUUAUACGGGAAAUGCUGAGCCAAGGCCUGAUUCAACAUAGUAUCAGUCCCUUCUCGUCGCCGGUUCUAGUAGUGAAAAAGAAAGAUGGAAGCUGGCGUUUUUGUGUCGACUACCGGGCGUUAAACGUAGUGACAGUCCGCGACAGAUUCCCAAUCCCUACUAUGGACGAACUAAUGGAUGAAUUACACGGAGCGGUGGUACCACUAGAUACGCAUCGCCGGAGCGGACAUUGAGAAGACCGCGUUUCGAACCCACCAGGGCAACUACGAGUUCACGGUCAUGCCCUUCGGCCUGUCGAAUGCCCCGGCCACCUUCCAAGCAACCAUAAAUCAAUUGUUAUAGCCCCUGUUACGGAAGUUUGUAAUCGUCUUCUUCGACGAUAUACUAGUAUACAGUAUAUCAUGGAAGUCACACAUCGAGCACUUAGGGGAGGUGUUCAAACUGUUUCGAGAAAAUAAAUUCUAUGUUCGGGAAUCGAAAUGUGCCUUCGGAUUGGAAGAAUUGGCGUACUUAGACCAUAUUAUAUCACCACAAGGAAUUCAGCAAGACCCUGACAAGAUUGAAGCUGUGGUAAAUUGGCCGCAACCGGCAACGGUAAAACAGACCAGAGCAUUCUUGGGUUUAACCGGAUAUUACAGAAAAUUUGUGGCUCAAUACGCCCAAAUUGCAAUCCUGCUCACUGACCUAUUGCGCAAGGACGGAUUCGUGUGGACUGAGGCAGCCACAGAAAGCAUUUGAGAAAUUGAAAUCGGCCUUAACGACGGCUCCGGUCCUGGUAUUUCCCGACUUUAGCCUACCUUUUGUGGUCGAAACUAACGCGUGCGAUGUUGGCAUUGGGGCCAUCCUACUUCAACGGGAACAUCCAUUGGCCUACUUCAGUCGGAAAUUAUCCAACCUACGGCAGCGUGCAUCCACUUACUCGAAAGAACACUGGGCACUAACGGAGGUCGUCCAUAAAUGGAGGCAUUACCUCCUGGGAAGCGAGUUUACCAUUCGGACUGAUCACGCCAGCCUCAAGAAUCUGCUCAGUCAAGUAAUUCAAUCCCCCGAGCAGUAAUACUUCCUCACACGGCUACUGGGAUUUUCAUUUAAUAUAGUCUACAGGAAGGGGAAAGAAAACGCAGCAGUCGAUGCGUUGUCAAGAUUGCCGAAGACGGAAGUGGAAACAGAAGGUAUCGAAUUAAAGAAACUAAUUAGCGAAGUGAUCACGGAUUGGGAAAAGCUAAUAGCGGCUGAGAACGAAUCAGACGAGUGGAUUCAGAAGUUAAAAGAAAAGAUUAAAACAGGAGAGGCGGAUAAAGAGUAUUCGGAGCAAAACGAAAUCGUGUACCAUCGGAAGCAAUUCUGUUUGGGACCAACAUCGCCUCUACGCACCAAAAUCCUGGAAGAAUUACACAGCUCACGGGUAGGGGGUCACUCUGGCUACUUCCGAACGCUUAAGCGAGUGCAACAGAUAUUCCACUGGAAGGGAAUGAAUUCGUUCAUCCACGAGUUCGUGUCCAACUGUUCAAUUUGCCAACAAGUAAAAUCGAUGGCCUUGAAACCCAUGGGACUCCUCCAACCUCUACCAAUUCCAGUAGCUAUCUGGGAAGAUAUAAGCAUGGACUUCGUAACGGGACUACCACCGGUAAAGGGGCUCUCAGUCAUAGUAGUGGUGGUCGAUGAACUCACCAAGUAUUGCCAUUUAGGGGCACUGUCAUCCAACUAUUCUGCCACAUUGGUUGCAGAUUAUUUCAUCAAACAGAUUGUGUGAUUGCACCGAGUGCCCAAGAUGACCGUGUCCGAUUGUGACAAGAUUUUCUUAAGUAAAUUUUGGAACGAAAUCUUCACGAAGAGCGGAACGACACUGAAGAUGUCCACCGCGUAUCACCCAAAAUCCGACGGACAGUCUGAAAUUGUUAACAAAAUCAUAGAGCAGUAUCUACAAGCUACGAUUCAGGACAACCCUUGGGAUUGGGUGGAUCUACUGCCAUGGGCUGAGCUCUGGUACAAUACAGCUUAUCAUCAUAACUUGGGAAUGUCACCCUUUCAAGCAGUCUACGGUAGGAUACCAUCGACGAUCAUUGACUAUCGGGAGGGGGAUUCCAAUGUGGAAGUAGUAGAUAAUCUGUUACGGCAGAGAGAUCAAUUACUACGGGAGUUGAAACUCAAUCUGCGCUCUGCACAGGAACGAAUGAAAAGGUAUGCAGAUCUAAAAUGCCGCCCUCACGAAUUCGAGGAGGGGAAUUGGGUCUGGCUGCGCUUACAGCCAUACCGGCAGAACUCCGUGAGCCACCGUACGUAUGUCAAGUUGGCCAAGCGAUACUACGGGCCGUUUAUGAUCGAACGCAAGAUAAGAGCGGUAGCAUAUCGACUCAAAUUACCAGAAGGGAGUAACAUUUUCCCAGUAUUCCAUAUUGCGCUAUUGAAACCAUUCGAGGGAGACAAACCGGAAACAACCAUCCCAUUGCCACCAUUAGCAACAGAGGGACACCUAAUUAUUUGCCCAUCCAAGGUAAAUGCGUACCGGAAAAUAAAACAAAGAGGAAAAAUCACUAAGCAAGUCUUAGUGAAAUGUGAAGGACUGUCAGCCGAAGAUCAUUCAAUGGAGGAUAUCAGUUCAGUCGAGAGAUUAAUGUCGAACGGAAAUCUUGAGGACAAGAUUACAUCGGAAGAGGGAAGGGAUGUAACAGUUCAAUUAGAACUAGACACUGUCAUCAAAAGACUCCAGGAUGACCUGGGAUUAUCAGAGCAGGAAGAGGUGGCCACUACUAAAGCACGACCAAACAAUUUUAACCAACUUCUGCUUUCCCCAACUCUGGCUCCCUAGGGAGAAUUCUUUUCCAAACCUCCGGCUCCCCAAUUGGGAGAGUUCCGUUCACGCCCUGCAACGACGACGAAUGUAACACUAGAGUUGAAAGUUUACAAGAGAUUCGUAAUUAAGCGAUUGUAACUAAUAGAUGAUUAUUUAAAUCCUUAGGGACUAAAGUAAAAAGUUACCAUCAUAAUAGAAUAUAAGCAUACAAAUGUAAGUAAAACAUACGCACUACAGUUCAAAGGUUGGACAUUUCUUCUUCAUCAACCUUUAGUCUUUGUGUGUGUGUGCAUCUAUCUUUUCUCUUUAAUCCUCAUCUCGACUUCUUCAACCUUCAUCGAUCAUGAAUUCCAACAUGGUAUCAGAGCUAUCGAGGUCCAUGAGCCUCAAUGACCUGGAGACCUUGAAUAGCAACCCCAACACUCUCCUCACCUCCCAAGUCCCAACCCAUCGCCCUAACCGCUACAACAACCAACACUUUAACACCCCUCGACCAAGACACAUCUCUAUUGUCCGAUGAUACCACCACCACCAAACUCCCAACAUCAACUCCUUGUUCCGUAUACCUAUGAACAAAAUAGAUUUUGUGUGCCCAACCCGGAAAAGGUGAACUGGUUCAAAGCUGAUCAACUUGUACUAACGGAUCAGAUCCACAGUAUCGGCCUCCGUGCAAACCAUGAUCUUGUACUGCAUAUCAGCCAAGGAAGCUUGACAACUACUGGAUAAAUUUUUAUCGUCAUUGUGUACCAUACACAUCAAAACAUUGUGUACAAAACUCCGAACAAUAAAGAAGCUGCCAUCGACAAGCAUGACUGACUUCCUCAUGGAUGUCAAAACAACGGUCAACGCUCUAUGUGCCGUCAGUUCCACCAUCCAAGAUGAGGAGGUCAUCAACUACAUUGUCGACGGACUCGACGUCGGCACCUACCGGAGCUUUCUCACUUACCUCUAGUUCCAUCCAACAACCACAUUUGACGAGCUGCACAGUCAUCUUCUUUUAGAGGAAGAUCUGAUGAAACGUUCCCAAGAACCAUCAACACCAACUCCGGUGGCAUUUGCUGCAACCCGAAAUAAUGAUGACAUAACUCCGGUGCAACAACAACCCAUGCAAAACCAACAGCAUAAAAAUCAAUACAACCGUGGGCGUGGAAGAAACAACUAUCGCAGACGCGAAUGUGGCUACCAUAGAGACAGAGGCUUCAAUCACUAUCCACAAUACAACCAACGGAACAACUCCUAUCAACAAUAUCGCGGCAACGUCCUCUAUCAACCACCGAAUCUGCAUGUACCGGAGUCCGUCAACCAUACAAACGUAUGUCAAAUUUGUAAUCGACCAAGACAUCUUGCUAAAACAUGUAGAGAACGCAACAAUCAUGCCUUCAUCGCCAAUAGUGUAACUGACAACAUGUUUGUCCUAUCACUUUAUAGUAGUGCACCAUGGUGUCUCGACUCAUGAUAUUUCAUCUCAUGCAAGCAAUUCCAGCCAUAGUAGUGCACCAUGGUGUCUCGACUCCGGCACGAAUCGUCUAUUUUUUUUUCUGCACGAUCUGUGCAACCAACAAAGCAAGAUGCCUCCCAUUUUCCCGACGUACUUACACAGCCACGACUCCUUUCGAAUUGGUUUACAUCGACUUAUGGGGUCCGUCACCGACAACGUCACGUGAAGGCUUCCGCUACUAUGCAUCCAUUGUCAACGAUUACUCUCCCUACUCACGGUUCAUACCACUUAGGCUUAAGAGUGAAUUUGUUAAACAUUUUAUAUGGUUUUGUAAUAUGAUUGAAAGAAGUUUCUCCAACUACCCACUCAAAUGUAUUCAAACUGAUGCUGGUGGAGAGUUCACCGGUGCAACAUUUAUCAAAUUUUUAGCUGACAAGGGAAUACGACGUCGUCUGUCGUGUCCGUAUACCCCCGAACAAAACGACAUCGUGGAACGUAAGCAUGGUCACAUAGCAAACGUUGGAAGAUGCUUUCUACACCAAGCAAAACUUUCAUUACACUUCUGGUUAGAUGCGUAUAGUAGUGCAACAUUUAUGAUAAAUCGAACGCCAUCAAACAAUACCCAAGGAAUGAGUCCAUAUGAGCUCCUCUACAACCGUUCACCAGACCUCAACCUCCUCAAAAUCUUCGGGUGUUAGUGCUUCCCGAUCAUCCCACGCAUACGACGUAACAAGUUAGAAAGUACAGCCACUAACAGUUGCUUCAUAGGCUACUCCAACCUACAUAAAGGCUAUAGAUGCUUGGACCUGAUAACAGGAGUGGUAGUUACGUCUCGUCAUGUCACCUUUAAUGAAGAAUGCUUCCCAUUUGCAACAACAACAUCAAUAAAGCCUUUCAUAAAUUCUGAGUAUAAUACAUCCCACUUCAAACAAGCGUCAUGCAACAUACUACGGCCAGCACUCCUUCCAACACCACAAACUGCAACAACAACCAUACUGCCAAUUGCAAAUCAUAGUAACUGUGACAGCAUGACCAACAAUAACACAUCUCUCCCAACGGCUAUAUCACUACCUCCAAACCAUGAUCCACCUGCUCCACAAUCCUACGAAUUUUCUGACCAAAUACCUGUUGGUGAUUCACAAGGUACAGAAACCAAACUACGUCGAUCUGAGCGCCAAACAUGCCUUCCUACUCAUCUUGAGGACUUCGAAGUCACGUUACCAUCUACCCAACCACAAACCUUAAUGGCUUCAAUGGUAACAGCCUACGAACAAAACCAAAUCCAAGCCACCAAACCAUGCAACUCACGUAACCAUCUCUCACGUAAAACAAAUCCUCACCAACUACCCCAUGCUCUCUUAGCACAAACAACCAAAAUCAUUGAACCUAAAACAGUCAAAAAUGCACUAACACAAGCAUGCUGGGUACGAGCGAUGAAGGAGGAACUACAAGCACUCGACCAAAACUCCACUUGGACAUAUUGGUCCCACGUCUACCAGGUAUGAAUGUUGUUGGUAGUCGCUGGAUUUUUAGAAUUAAACAACAUGCAGAUGGUUCACUAGAGCAAUACAAGGCUCGACUAAUAGCGAAAGGAUUCCAUCAAUGGGAGGGUCAGGACUACGACCUCACAUACUCUCCGAUAGUCAAGGCGUCAACAAUUCGCAUCGUUCUCUCGAUAUCAUUGGCACACGGGUGGAAAUUACACCACUUGGACGUAUGCAAUGCAUUUUUGAACGGGACACUCUCCAAAGAGGUAUACAUGGAACAACCAACUGGACAUCGUGACGCCUCUAGACCGAAACACGUCUGCAAACUUCAUCGAGCCUUUACGGUCUAAAACAAGCACCGCGAGCAUGGUAUGAUCGUCUUCGAUCCCUUCUUGAACAAUGUGGUUUUCAUAAUGCUGUGGCAGAUGCGUCACUUUUCGUACUACGAAUGAGAGAAACAACCAUCUACGUAUUAAUUUACGUAGAUGAUUUUAUCAUUACGGGAAACAGAGACGAUAAGGUAACGGCCUUCAUCAACACUGUGUGUAAACAUUUUAAAUGUCGCGAUCUGGGUCAACUUUCAUACUUUCUUGGACUUGAGAUGGAAUCAAAGAACGUAUGCACUGAAGUUACACGAAGAAAAUACUCACUUGAUUUACUGACAAGGUUUGGCCUCCUACAAUGCAAACCUAUGUCUACACCAGUUGCACCAGGUGGUCAACUAUCAUGUGAGAAGGGAAAAUUACUUGAAGAUCCCACACCUUAUCGCAGCAUGGUGGGUGCAUUACAAUACUUGACUAUUUCCCGUCCAGAUCUCGCUUUUGCUGUUAACCAAGUGUGCAAGUUCAUGCAUUCACCGACAGAUGUACAUCUCACUGCCGCAAAAAGGAUACUACGAUACGUUAAAGGUACACUAAAUAUUGGCCUCACAUUUCGUCCAUCUCCUUCCACAAAACUCACAGUUAUGGUCGACGCAGACUGUGUCGGUGACCUUGAUGACAGAAAAUCCACUACCGGAUCAUGUAUAUUUCUCGGUCCCAAUCUUGUAUCGUGGAUGUCGAAGAAACAAGCAACAAUUUCCCGAUCUAGCGCUGAAUCUGAAUAUCGAGCGAUCGCCUACGUAACAGCGGAGCUACGAUGGUUUUGUAGAUUACUUCGAGAUUUGGGAGUUCGGAUACCAGCACCACCAGAAAUACUCACAGAUAGUAGAUCAACAAUGUUUAUGGAGGCAAAUCCGGUUAUCCAAACCAAGUCGAGGCACAUCGAAACGGACUACCACUUCGUCCGUGAACUUGUCGCAUGGCGAGAUCUGAAGAUCAAUUACAUUAACAAAGAACAGCAAACGGCGGAUAUAUUUACAAAGGCCAUGUCCAACGAGUUAUUUUCCCGCCAUCGUCGUGGACUUUGCCGCCGGUGUCGAAGGGGGGUAAUAGAUAAUUAUUUAAAUCCUUAGGGGCUAAAAUAAAAGGUUACCAUUAUAAUAGUAUAUAAGCAUACAAAUGUAAGUAAAACAUACACACUACAGCUCAAAGCUUGGACAUUUCUUCUUCAUCAACCUCUAGUCUUUGUGUGUUGAUGGUACCCCCAAUCCAUCAGCCCAGGCCCACGCAGGAGUCCAGAAACAAGGCCCAGCAAAGUGAACAAAAGAGGAAGGCCCAAACCGCCUCACGGGUACUCGUCUGACCGGACGGAUCCAUUGGCCCGGACGGUUAUCUCUUCAAGGGUUGUGUCCCAAGUGUGUCAGGUCCUUUAGGCCGGAUCCUAGUCCGAGAACGGAGGGUCCAGAGUCCGGUAGGAAAUUGUAUAAAUACCCCUAGGGAUGAAGUGUAAAGGGGGGAGAACAAUUGUUACUAUAAUUAUAAUAUACAAGAUCAGUCACCAUUCCACAGGGAAACGAUCAAUGGUGAACCUGACGUAAACUGGAUUCGGAACAACCAGAGCGGAUAAUUCAGAUGGAGGAAAACCUAGGAAUCUCGGUGGCAGAAGCGCGCGAGAAUCAACUACCAGCAGUUCCCGUGGAAAAUCAAGUUACAGACGAACCGGCGCACUUGGAAGAGAAUAUUGAAGAAGCGCCCUAUCUUCAGAAGGAGUUAGAGAGUUACCGUUAAAAUCAGGCAUAUCGUCUAUGAAGGAAUUGAGAUUGGCCAUGGAAGAGGAUGCGGCGAUCAGCGGGAGAGGAACCCUAUCUCUGGUAAGAAAAAAAAGUGGAAAUAAGUGAAAGUGAAAGUAGAUUAUAUAUAGAAGAAUGUUGGCGGGAAAUUAAAAAUAUUCCUAAAAGAUAAAACUCCAUACCCAAGGGCCAGAUGGACCGCACGGAAGGGUAAGUAUAUUUCGGCCCAGGUGUUGUAGCCAGCCCGGAUACUUAAGGGAGGUGGAGCAAAAGGGCCGUAAGGAAGACACCUGAAGGGAGGCAACCAUAUAUAUAUAUAUAUAAAACUAUAGUCCCAUCGGAAUAGGCGUCACGAGACCCUGAGGAAAAAUGGUAGAGGGAAUACCUGCUCAAAUGGCACGUACGGGAAACAGACGUGGGGAACCAGGUAGCCAUAGGGCCCGAGGGAAAUAAUAGCAUAGUCGAAGUUUGAAGGGAGUUGCCAGACCCCUGAUCAACAAGUAGGUACAUUCGGCAAUAAAAAAAACUCCUUGAAGGAAAAAGAAACCGUUUUUUUUUUAAGAAGGGAAAAAAUAAAAGUAAAUUACAUCAGUGCGUAAGAUAAACACAAACGAGUUUGCAGGAAUCGUAGGAACAAUUGCAGGGGAACAAAAGAAACAUUCAAAUACGUAAAAAAAAAAGGGGAUACAAGGCCCUCCCCGUAAAAAGAACAUCAAAGAUGCCCGUCAGGGCGGGCCGCGGGAAAGGAAAUGGCGUAGGUCACUUGAAGGAAGGCCAGAACAUCCGGCACGUGGUCCGCGUCCCCAACGGCGACGAGCAGCAGGUGCUGUAGAACGCCCAGUUGAAGACAGCUCAGUAGCGGCAGUUGCACGGACCCCAUUGGGGGGGGCAGUUGCGGGAAUCACGCCAGGGACAGGAAGCCCGGGUGGAGCACCAGUGGCAGGGAGUCAGUUACCUGAAGCAGUUAUCGUCGCCGGAAUGACAAUACCGGUUCCGUUGGAGACUCGCCAGAGAGCACGAAUACGUUGCUGGACCUCCGAAACCAGAUGAGAUAGGCGAGGAUUACCUGCAGCAAAUUCCUGGGCAUCACAAACACGUUGAAGAAGAUCAUCUGGCCAAACAGCUUGCUGACGCGCCAACUCAGAUCCCAGUUCCUCCAGCAGAUCAUCAAGAGAAGACAUGAUAAAUGAGGAGAAAUGAAUCAAAUGAAAGAAAAUACCCUAUUCAUAGGAUAAGAGGAGGGGGGGUACUGAUGGUAGCCCCAAUCCAUCAGCUCAGGCCCACGCAGGAGUCCAGAAACAAGGCCCAGCAAAGUGAACAAAAGAGGAAGGCCCAAACCGCCUCACGGGUACUCGCCCGACCGGGUCGACCGGACGGAUCCAUUGGCCCGGACGGUUAUCUCUUCAAGGGUUGCGUCCCAAGUGUGUCGGGUCCUUUAGGCCGGAUCCUAGUCCGAGAACACAGGGUCCAGAGUCCGGUAGGAAAUUGUAUAAAUACCCCUAGGGGUGAAGUGUAAAGGGGGGAGAACAAUUGUUACUAUAAUUAUAAUAUACGAGAUCAGUCACCAUUCCACAGGGACGCGAUCAUGUGUGUCAGUGUGUGCAUCUAUCUUUCCUCUUUAAUCCUCCUCUCAACUUCUUCAACCUUCAUCGAUCAUGAAUUCCAACAGUAACUUAUAAAGGUUACAAGAAAUUCGAGAGUGAAGUCACCUUCAAAAGCUCUUAAAUAAGUUUGUCAACACCUUUAGGCUAAUAAAUUUCGCGAAUCAAGUCUCGAAUCACGACUCAACAAAUCUAAGGGAUAAACAUGGAAGGAUCAUUUACAAGGGGAAUUAUUUAAAGAGGCAAAGGCUAUAAAAAGGACCCCAUAUAUAUAUGAGAGUUCAUUCAAUUCCUUCAUCCACCAUACAAUCAUUUUGAUCACUCACAUACUUUCGAGAAUCACCAAGAGACAUUUCAAGUUUUAGCUUCCAAGCUUCUCAGCUCCCAAGAAAAAAUCAUCACCAAUCAUCUUCUUUUCUCCCUUGCUUCUUCCCAGACUUAUUGCACACAAUUAUUUUUUAAACAUCAAACUUUGUUAGAGUAAAAGUGUUGUCAAAACUUUGUUAGAGUUGGAAGAAGCCAAAGCUCUCUUAUAUCAAUUAUGUUAAAUUUCUAUUCUGUUUUUAGUAUUAGCUAAGAAGGGUAUUUAAUCUAAGUAUAGAAAACUAAACUAAGCCAAUGAACUAGAACUGAAUAAACUGGAAUGAAUUCCAGAAACUGACUCUAAGAGAAUUGAAAUAAAAUUGAGUUUAAGAAUUGAAAUUGACUAACCAAUCAAAGGAAAUACACAUUGAAAUUUCAAACGAAGAUUUAGCAGAGUACAUCAAAUUGAGGAACGGAACAACAGAAAACUAAGAAAUUGAAUUUGAAGACAGAAAAAUAUAAAAUUGGAUUUCACCUUCCGACUGAAGAUGACACCUGCAAACAGAACAACAACGCCUGAGUAAUCAGAAGGCUCGGACGCGAGAAUGAGAGAAAGGAGAUCAAAAGGAAAGUACUCACAACUAAGAAAUUGAAGUGAAGUUUGAUCGUUGACCCUUCUUCUCUUUAAUAGCCUUUUCUGUUAACUAAAAUCAGUUGUGUAACUGAUUUUUCAGAUUUUUGGGAAAAUCUGUUUUCACAUUAAACUCUGUUUUCACAAAUUAUUCAUCUUUUCUUUUUCAAGUGUGAUCAGAAAUAUGUCAGAAAUCGGGUUCAAUAUUCAUUUUAAAGUAUAAGCCCGGUAAUAUUCUUAGGUUGAAUCUACACCUAAAGUAUGUGUACUCUUAAAUACUUGUAAACUCUUUCAUUUUACUUAAUAUUAGAUAUUACUUUUCACUAGGAUUGGGUAUGGGUCGGGUUUGCCUAAACCCGGACCCGAGUUUUCAAAUCGGGUUCGGGUUCAGGUCAAAACCCGGGAAGGUCAAAAAAUAUUGAACCCGGACCUGAACCCGGUUUUGAUGUCGGGUUUGGUCGGGUUUAAUAAAUUGAUUGAAUAUUUUGCAUAAAAAACCCUGUUGUUUAAAUAAUAUUUAAAUUUUAUAAAAAUCAAAUAAAAUGGUUUGUGAAGAUAGAGAGGGUUUGUGAAGAUGGAGAGAUCUGACGGUGAGGAAAGGUCCGACGACGGCGAGGAGAGGGCCGGCGACCGUAAGGAGAGGGUCGGCGACGGCGAAAAGGGAAAUAAAAGUGGAAAAGGAGAGGGAAAUUAAGGUUUAAAUUUUAAGAUAUGAAAUUAACUAAUUAAGGUUUAUAAAAGAUGAGAAAUUUAUAAUUAUAUAUAUUAAUUUUUUUAUAAAGUGUUUUAUAUGAAAUUAUAUUAAUUAUUUAUAUUUUAAUAAAUUUUUUAUAAAUUUCUUCGGGUUUCGGGUGAGUCGGGUUUGGUUCGGGUUUAAUCCGAACUAAACCCAAAAAAAUCGGGUAAAAAUUACUCGGGUUCGGGUCGUUCGCAUCAGGUUUUAUGACCGAAAAUAUCAACCCAAACCCGGACCCGACCCACGCCCACCCCUGCUUUUCACUAAUUACAUGGUUGAGUUCUUAUUUUUCUCUCUAUUUAAUUAAUUUGAUAUAAGAAGUUAACAACUAAAUUAUAGACUUUUGGUCCAACAUGAACAAUCAAGAUGUUUCAGUUCCUUUUUUUCUUCUUCUAAAUCUCAAGACAUUCAAGUCAUCAUGUUGUUUUAGUGAUGGGACAGUUUAACUAUAUCAAACUAUUUCGUGGCAGGCAGAUUUGAAUUAAAAGUUGAAAGAUGAAAGGUGAAACAGCCAGUCUGUAAAUUCUCUCUUUAUUGAUCUUUGUUCAAAUUGGUCUGUCCAUCUAUCUAUCUAUCUAUAUAUCUAUAUGCAUUAAGUGUAGAUCAACUAACUAGUUUCAUUAAUAAUCACAAAAACACACGAUCAGUUUAACUCAACUGGUCAGGAAGGGAAGGAGGAAGGGGGGGGGGGGUUCGGGGCUCAAAAAAAAACUUUACUUUUUAAUCUCCUGUACUCUGUAGGUGUAUCUCCAAAGUCAAGCCCCCAAACACUUCUGUUUAGUGCUGUUUUCUUCUUACCUUUUGAGCAUUCUGCAAGCUGCAACCCCUCUGUCCGUCUUCCUUUUUCUUUACUUUCCUGUUUUGUCUACCGACGAGAUAGAUGAAGAAUCGAAAAAAAUAGAUGUGGUGUGAGUUUUUCUUCUCCUUGCCGACCCCAGCUUCCUUUUUCUUGAAUUCCAUCCAUUCUAUUCAGGGAUUAUUUUCCUUCUGUUCAAAAUUAUACUGGGUCAAUAGACAAUAGGGUUAUCGUUAUCGUUCUGCCGCCGAUUGGGAGGAAUUCGUGUGGUAGUUUGUUUUACCGACAGGGUGGUACAAAUCAGAUUUUGAUCUUUGAGGCAGGGCGGCAGGGAAGAUAAGAUCGGAUGUAUGGAAUUUAGAAACCCAACUUCUGCAAAGCCAAGAUUUUUGGGUUUUGAUAUAAACAUGCUGUGCGGCCUCGAUAGACUGGUGAGUUCUGUUUACGAUGAAUCCCUUUCUCUUUCAAUUUCGGUUCCUCUUUUUUUUAGCAUAGUUACUAAUAUUGUAUCAAUAGUAGAUCCAUGAAUCUCUGUUUUUUUUGUAAGGGUUUUGCAAAAAAUAAAAAAGGUUGGGAUUUUGAAUUGAUAUCAUUGAAUCCUAUUUUAGCUCUAUAUCUUGAUCGGUUAUGUCCUCGGAUGCUAAUUUAUCUCGUCUCAUUAUUCAAGCUGUUGCCCAAUUCUCCAUGUACCACCGGCAAAGGUAAAGAAAGUGCAGGCCAAACCAAGGUCACAUAUGGUUUCAGUCUUGUGAAAGGCAAGGCCAAUCAUCCCAUGGAGGAUUACCAUGUCGCUAAUUUCAUCCGAACUGGCAACCAGAAGCUCGGAUUGUUUGCCAUCUUCGAUGGUCAUUUAGGAGAUGAGGUUCCAGCAUACUUGCAAAAGAACCUCUUCACAAACAUUUUAAAUGAGGUUUCUAUUGUUUUGUUUCUUCAUUUUGUUAAGAUUUUAUGUAAUUGAUUUGAUGAUCAUUUAACCUGCCUGCAUUGUUGGGAAUCUGUGUGUAACGCAGAAACAAUUUGUCGAUUAUCCUGAUAGAGGCAUCACCGGAGCUUACGAAAAGACGGAUCAAGCAAUUCUUUCUCAUAAUCCUGCUUUGGGUCGAGGUGGUUCGACCGCCGUCACUGCUAUACUUGUAAAUUUUCAGAAGUUGUGGAUAGCUAAUGUUGGUGAUUCUCGAGCAGUUCUACUGAAAGAUGGUGAUGUGUUGCAGAUGACAAUUGAUCACGAGCCGAGCACUGAGCGUCAAUUUAUCGAAGAUAAAGGAGGAUUUGUUUCGAAUCUACCUGGUGAUUCAUUCAUCUCAACUUCAAUAUAAAUGAUUUGUCAUUUUCAAUCUAAUCCUUCUUCGAUCAAAUUGAAGGUGAUGUUCCGAGAGUUAAUGGGCAGUUGGCUGUUUCCCGUGCCUUUGGGGAUAAGAGUCUGAAAUCACAUUUACGAUCCGACCCUGACAUAAGAUCUGCAGAUGUAACUCCAAACACUGAGCUCAUGAUCCUUGCAAGUGAUGGCCUGUGGAAGGUUUUUUUUAACCUGUUAAUUUAACUGUCUUUGUUUCCUUAAUAAAUCCGCGUGUUGCGAAAUUGUGACCUGAAUCAAACUUACUUACAGGUGAUGAGCAAUGAAGAAGCUGUAGAAGUUGCCCGAAAGAUCAAAGACCCUCAAUCUGCCGCCAAGAAAUUGACUGCUGAAGCUCUUAAGAAAGAUAGCAAGGAUGAUAUAUCUUGCAUUGUCGUUCGUUUUAAGAUAUGAGCAUCUUUUUUUAAAGAUGUUUGGAUCGGUGUUUGAACUCAAUUUGAUUAUUUGAAGACUUGGAAAUUUAUCAAUGUUGGUUCUCUUCUCAAGAACCAAUAUAAUGUGUCGGAAACAUGAUCUGCAGUGCAGGAAUUAGAUUCUGAAUAUUUUUACAGAAAUUCAUUGAGUUUUACAGAUUUAUCCAAAUUCACCAAUUAUGCUGUUUGUCAUCUACCACCUGAUAAUUCUACAGCAUCUUGAUUAUAGAUUGAAUCUUCACCCCAAUCCAAUCUUCGCUGUAAUCUUUCGUACUCCUGACGACGAUUGACCUCCACUUGCUGCCAUUCUUCCCAUCUCUCAGCCAAUCCUUCACCUUCCAACAUCCUCACCACCUCUGACAUUGUUGGGCGGUUUUCGGGGGACGAAUGGGUACAGAGAAGUGCAACUUGGAUCAUCAUCUCCACCUCUGCAAUUUCAUAAUUAUUCUUCAAAUUACGAUCAACAAUGUCUCCCAAUCUUUUUUCAGAUUCCAGCUUCUUCACCUUCACCAUUGUUCAACAUACACAGAGCAUCAAAAUAUUUUAAUCAUCUAACACCAAAUGAAAGAGUGAGGAGAGAAAGAAUUUUGAAUUUUCCAUCUUACAUGAUCCAAUAGUAAGACAUCAUCUUCGUCUUCCAAGCGUGCGAAGUCUAUAGCACGCUGGCCCGUGACGAGUUCGAGAAGCAUAAUGCCAUAGCCAAAAACAUCUGUCCUCUCAGACGAUUUUCCGGUGGAUAAAUAUUCAGGAGCUAUGUGACCCAUGGUUCCACGGACUUGAGUAGUGACUGAAGUUUUCCUUACAUCAACCAGUUUUGCAAGACCAAAAUCACCAACAACCGCUUCAAAAUGCUCAUCGAGUAACACAUUGGCGGCUUUUACAUCUCGAUGGAUUAUUUUUGGAUUGCAAUGCUCGUGAAGGUAUUCAAGUCCACGACCUGUCCCUAAUGCAAUCUUUUUUCUAGUACACCAAUCUAUCGGAUCCCCAGUUUUGAAUUCUACAUUUAAAAGAAAAAGAAAAAUCAACGUUAUUUUGAUGCGAUGAAAAUAUCUUUCUUUGAAAAAAAUAAUGAGGUUCAUACCUCGUAAACAGUAGGCGACACUUAAGUUCUGCAUAAAAGGGUAAACCAAAAGGCGUUCCGAGGGUGUUGUGCAGAAGCCUAUUAAUUUUAGAAGAUUUUUGUGAACAGCUACACUUAUCAUCUCAACUUCACGUAGAAAAGCCGCCUCUCCACCAGGGCUUUCAUAAUCAGUCAAUCUUUUUACAGCAAUUUUAGUGUUAUCUCCAAGAACUCCUUUGUAUACUUUUCCAAAACCACCUUGCCCAAGAAUAUUUUUUUCGCUAAAAUUCUCAGUUGCCACUUGAAGCUCUCGCCACGCAAAUCUCUUCAGUUGUCCGAAUUCUAUUCUAUGAUCAUCCACACCUGAAGAGAAAAAAGAAAACUUAAAAAAUAACUUCCUUUGAAAAUAUAAUUUGACAAAAUCACACCUGCAACAUCAACGAAAACGUCAGGGCGGUAGCGUCUCAUUCUGCGUUUCCAAAGAACAAACAAAGACACUAAAAAUAUAAAACACAAGAUCCCUCCAAUGAUUCCAAAAACAAGGCCAACUUUUGACUUGUGAGAUCCACCUUCCAUCAGACGAAGAAGAAAAAGAUUAGCAAACCUUCCUUCCAUUUAAAUCCAGGUUAAACACAAUUUUUUCUCACCAGGUUCGGAAAUACUGCUGGAUACACAAGUGUAUGAAUGGUUUAUACCACAGUUCAAGUUAGUCCCUGUAAAACUGUUUGGAGUAUUCAAUCAAUUCAUGCUAUCCUAUGAAAUCAACUAUAAUAUAGUUGUAGAAGUAAAUAAAUCAAGAACAUAGUACUUGUAUCUUGAAACUGUGAAGAGAUUGUCUGGAAUCCGACCGCUGAGGUCAUUAAAAGAGAGUCCUCUGCCAACAUAAAUCAAACAAUAUUGUACUGUCAGAUAGAAAAUGGCCGCUUUCUAUAUUCUUACAGUUAAAUUUAUAGGGCUUGGUUCAGAUGAGACCUUCCCCUGAGGUAAAUUAAGACUCUUUAAAUCUGACUGGAAUCCCUGUGAUAUGUGGCUCUUGGGAUAUGCAGAUAGAAUUAAAGGGUCUUAUUCAAUCUCACAUCUCAUCUGAAUUUAUAUGUGAAACUUACUUACAUGUCAUUAAGAUUCGAAAGAUUUGAGAAUGAUAGAGGGAUGGUACCAGUGAGGUUAUUUUGACUCAGAUCCCUACCAAUAUGAAAAAGGAUCAUCAUAAUUCAUGAUGACUAUUUCACUAAUCAUAACUAAAUAAAUAGAAAAAAAGGACGAAGGUACUCACAAUAUUUUGAGAUUACCAAGGUUACCAAGAGAAGAUGGAAUUUCUCCGGUUAAGCGGUUAUUUUUCAAAAUCAAGCUUGUCAAACUAGUCAAGUUUCCAAACUCACUUGGUAUCUUACCUGUGAUUUUAUUUCCUGGCAGUGAUCUGCAUGAAAUUAAGAGAAUAAGUUGGCGAAAUUUGAUCUCUAUUUGACUGACUGAUUGAUUGAUCAAUGAACUCACAAUAGAGAAAGUUGCGUCAAAACUCCAAUCUUUGGCGAAAGUGUCCCUGUAAAUCCCAUUGAACCUAAUGUUCUGCAAAUAAUGAAUGGUAUAAAUCUGUAUUUGGUAAAAUUAUAAAGUUUGAGAAAGCAAGCAUACACUCUGGUGACAAUAUUGUCUUUAUCACAAAUCACAGAACUCCAAGUACAUGGAUUAACUUGGUUAGGGUUCCAAUCAGAAAGUUGAUUUGCCUGGGCAUUUAACUUGGAUUUCAUGUCAUUAAGUGCAUCACCUGGAGAUGUGUGUGUGUGUAUUCAAAGCGUCAGACUUCAAAAGAAGAAAAUGCAGAAAUAAAAAAAAAGAUAGAUUAAAAAAUACCUUGAUAAUCACAUACUGCUAAACUGAAAAGAAAACACAAAAUCAAAACCACAUAAAUAUGCAUAUUUUUUCCAAGAUCUUGUUUUCCCUCCUCCUCCGUGUAAUUAACCCAGAAAGAUUGCAGUCUGCAAAGAAACAAAAAAAAAUAUUCAAAAUAACCCAAAGCCAAAACAAGCAAUCAUUCAAAAACAACCCAACAUCCAAAAGAGCAGGGAAGGGAUAAAACUAGAUAUAAUAAAAAUCCCCAAAUAUGGAAGGAGAGUGAUCAUGAGUUUAUGACACAUAACAUACCAAAUCAAGUGUUGAACAGAUGAUUUCCCCAAUUCAGCACUUGCCGGAGAACCUGCAACUAUAGUGGAUUUCUCAAUCCUAAAUUAUCAAUCCUCGCCACCACUGUAGUCUGCAGUAUUCAGUAUUAUUCUAUUAAGUUGUGCGGUGGGGGGAAGAAAGGUAGGAAAAAAGAAUGGAAAAAAAUACUACAAGUUGUUGGCCAAUAGAUGAAGUACACGUGUUAAAAUGUUUUGUUCAGAUUCGGAACUAUUUGUUGUUGUUCACUGUCACUGACUCACUGACUCACUGACUAACUCGGUCUUCACUCUGACAAAUGUCAAUUGCAAUUCAGUUUUGUUUUAAGUUAUUUUUAACAUGUUGAACCCAUUUGGUGAUUCGGUCAAUUAAAUAAAAUAAAAUAAAAAUCAGGUAUGAAUCUAAUCAAUUAAUCAUGUUUUAUUUAAUAAUAGAUGUCUUAAGCUUUUUCCAAUUUAUAAUAAUAGAGAAUUUAGCCUAGCAUAGACUGUUUUUUGUUGAAGUUUAAUAAUGGAGCAGCUUAGUACAUUAGGAGUUUGCUUGAGAGUUGGUGAACCAGGAAUUUCUAAAUUGUCCAAUCAAGUGUCUGAUCUUGUCUGGUAACGAGUGACAAACCCUUGCUACUUCAGAGAGACAACACCUUUGCUUUCUACCAAUAAGCGUGCAUCCGGUUCACUGCUACGUCAAGAUUGUGGUCGCUACCUCAUCUUCCUGGACCGUUGUUAGUCGUGCUCUGAUUUUCUCGGUCGAUGCAGUCUCGUCGCUGCUCGUGUGUUCUCUGACCUCCCCGCCUCCAACUUACGACAUUUCCUUCGGAUGCUGUUGGUACCAUGGACCGCGGACCAUGGACCGAGCUAGCGGCCUUCGAGGCCCAGACGCACGAAUGGGUCUGAAGGCACAGGGUGGCUGGGUGGCCCAUAAGAGAGGGCGCAGCUCGUGGAACUGAUAUCCACUCUACAAGAGAGCCAGCGCCAUCUGCAGGUGCACCAACUCACGGUGGCCCCUCACACCCUCGAGUCAGACGGGGGCAGAGACGGUGACCCGAUGUACGGGCCGGUCCCCCUGAUCGGGGGUUCGGGAGCGACGCAACUCCCACGGGAGGUCCCGUAGGCAGUACGACCCUGGUGGUAGGCGGAGUAGGGGGAGGGGCCCUGGCACAGCACUUGCUAGACGAGGAGUACCCCCCGGGUUGGAGGGCCCCGAAGAUCCCGUAUUACAAGAGGGACACCGACCCGGAGGAUCACCUUCACUCGUUCAAGACCAACAUGGAGGACAGGACGAGCAGAAAGGAUAUCUGGUGCCGAAUGUUCCGCAGAGCCCUCACGGACGACGCGAUAGCAUGGUACAGGACGCUGCCCACAGGAACCGUGCAUACCUACAAAGGCCUGGUAACAGUGUUCCGGGCGGCUUUCUCACACCGACGUAGGAGGCCCAAAAUCAAAGCCACCCUCAGCGCCAUCACACAGGGAGAGUUUGAGAACACAAGUGCGUAUAUGGACCGGUUCGCGGGUGAGGUGCUGAGGUGCAGAAGAUCGAGGGGAUUUCGGAAGAGGUGGUUCUGUACGCCCUACCGGACAGCCUCCGACCCACUUUCUUCGCAGGGGACCUGGUACGAAAGCCGCCAAUCACUUUCGCCGAAGCUAUGGAAAGGUCCCACGGAGAGUGCAACGUGGAAGACUACCUGGGGGCAAAGAUCCAGGAGCACAAGCGGCAGCAGAGGGAGAAAGGCAUCCCUGCAGGCGCAAGGGGGCAGCAGCAGCACCACCACCAACAUCAGCAGCCGCAGACCAAGCCCCCGAUCGCCCCGCAGGCGGCGGUGUACAGGACAGGCGUCCCCGCAGGAGCGGGCGAAGGGAAGCAGGGCCAGCCCCGGCGGCAAACCAAAGGCAAGUUUUCCUCACGCGGAACGGGAACCCUACCCCCGCCAAGGCCGAUGAGGAAGGACGCGACAGCGUUCAGGGACACUCGCCGAUUUUGCGAAUAUCAUGAGGACAACGGCCACACGACAGACGAAUGCCUGAACCUGGCGAAGGUACUGGAGAAAAUGAAGCCCGCAACUGAGCCCCCCCGCCCCGCCAGCGAGACGGUCGGCGGUCAUACCCACGGGGCACCAAGCGCCGAAGCAAGAGCCAGUGGACGAAGCGGUAGGGGAUAUCCUCACCAUCGCAGGAGGGGGCGCCUCCCGGGGGGACAACUUGUGGGAAGGGCGUCGAUACGCCUCCGAUGUGGACCGGACGAUGGGGACGAAACGCCCGCGAACGAAGAUGGAAAUCUCGUUCACAGAGGAAGACAUGAAUGACGUCACUACGUCCCACGACGAUCCGUUAGUUAUAACCCCCAUCUUCCGAAGAGGAGAUAAAUCCAACGUACGCCUCCACAGGGUUCUAGUAGACACAGGGACGUCCAUAGACGUGCUGUACUGGAACGCUUUCGUUGACCUCGGCUUGGCCCGCGCGGAUCUGCUCCCGAGCCGGGCCCUCAUCAGAGGCUUCGGACAGGCGGAAGUCCCGGUAGCAGGGACGAUAUCCAUCCCGAUCACCUUGGGCCGGCAUGCCCAAGCGAAGACGGUCGAAAUCACGUUCACCGUGGUAAACUUCACGUCCGGAUACAACGCCAUCCUAGGGAGAGCGGCGCUAUACGCGUUCCAGGCGGUGAUGUCUUUGCUCCACUAGUGCCUCAAAUUCCCGACCGAAGAAGGAGUAUGUACGGUCAGAGGGUCCCAGAGGAAGGCACGCGAGUGCUACUUCAACUCGGUUGGCGAGGUGAUGACAUCGGACGAGGGCCUACUGCACUCCGCAAGGGAGUGGGUCCCAAAGUCGGAGCCGGUGUCCCGUACGACCCUAAUCAGCCUCGCCCGGAACGAAGUGUGCAUAGGAAAGGACCUUCCGCAGGACUUGAGGGGCGGGCUGGAGCAGCUCCUCAGAGAAAAUGAGGAUUUGUUCGAAAAUGAGCUGGGGGAGCUGAGCGGGGUGUCUCGGGCGCUGGCAGAGCACAAGCUCGCGGUGGCCUCGGGCGCCCGCCCCGUCAGGCAGAAGCUGCGUCCGCUAAGGGCAGAAAAAAGGGACGCGGCAGAAACGGAAGUCAAGAAACUCCUUCGAGCGGGUUUCAUCCGCCCAGUGCGUUACCCCACGUGGCUGUCCAAUGUGGUCAUGGUGAGAAAGGCAGACGUAGGGUGGAGGAUGUGCGUCGACUUCAAAAACCUCAACAAAACAUGCCCCAACGAUAGCUACCCGCUAUCGUCGAUAGACCGGCUAGUGGACCAGAGCUCCGGAUGCGAACUGCUGAGUUUCAUGAACGCGCACUCAGGGUACAACCAAGUGCCCAUGGCAAGGGAAGACGAAGAGAAGACGUCGUUCAUCGCAGAGAUGGGCACGUUCUGCUUCAAAGUAAUGCCGUUCGGCUUGUGAAACGCCAGGGCUACCUUCCAGAGGCAAAUGGACAAGGUGUUCGGGGCGCAGAUAGGCAGAAACACGAAGGUGUACGUGGACGAAAUACUCGUCCGAUCGAAGGAAACCAGGACGCACCUAGCCGACUUGGAGGAGACUCUCGCCAACGUCAGAAAAGCAGGGCUAAAGUUGAAGGCAAAAAAGUGCACAUUCAGGGUCAAGGAGGGGCAUUUCUUGGGUUUCCGGAUCAAGCUAAGAGAGGAAAAGGUUGAAGCCGUCAUGGCCAUGACCCCACCGCGAACGAUAAAGGAAGUCCAAAAGCUGAAUGGAAAGGUGGCGGCGCUGAGCAGGUUCCUGCCAAGAACGGCGGACCGCCUGUGCCCGUUUUUUCAAUUUCUGAAAAACACAGACCCCAGAGUAGCGUGGUCGGAUGAGUGCGAGAAAACAUUCAAGGAGCUCAAAAGCCAACUGUCUCGCCUACCGACACUCCGCCCACGAGAGGAAAGUCUCUCACCAUGUACGUCGUGUGCUCAGAUUCGGCCGUCAGCGCAGUACUCAUCUCGGAAGCGGAGGGCGUGCAGAGGCCAGAGUACUACCACUCCCGAUCACUGCAGGGGGCGGAGGGAAGGUACCUGGAUAUCGAGAAAUUGGCCCUAGCGGUGAUCUCGGCGGUCCGAAGGUUGAAACCAUACUUCCACGCCCACACCAUCACGAUCCCAACGGCCCAUCCGCUGCUCCAGCUGCUGCAAAAGUCAGACGUCUCGGGGAGAUUGACCAAAUGGGCCAUGGAACUCAUCGAAUUCCACUUGGAGAUUGUACCAGUCAAGGCAAUCAAAGGGCAAGCGGUAGCGAAUUUCAUGGCCGAGCUAGCCCCGAAGGAUGGGAAGACAACAAAUGAGCAAUGGUGGACGGCCCAUGUGGACGGGUCAUCCAGCAGCACAGGCUGCGGGGUGGGGGUCGUGGUGAAAACCCCGACGGGGGAAAAGAUCGAGUACUCGAUCCACUUCGAGUUUCGGGCGACCAACAACGCAGCGGAGUAUGAGGCACUCCUGUCGGGGAUCAGACUAACGCGAGCGCUGGGCGCAUCCAAGGUACAUUUCCAUACGAACUCCCAGCUAGUAGCCAACCAAGUCAGGGGCGACUUCGUGUCCAAGGAGGACUCAAUGUCAAUCUAUGUGGCCGAAGCGAGAACGGCCUUGGGCAAACUCGAGGAAUGGAGGAUCUCUCAGAUAGGGAGAGAGGAUAACGGAAAGGCUGACACGCUGGCCAAGCUGGGAGCUUCGCCAGGGAAAGCAGAAGGAAGAUGGAUUCGAAUCGAGAACCAAGAGCACCCGACGAGACCUCACGGCCCCAAGGUGGCGCUGUGUGGAGUGAUAACGUCAGGGGACUGGAGAACGCCGAUUAGCAGAUUCAUCGAGGUAGGUGAAAAGCCAGCAGAUCCGAUGGAGGCCAGGAAACUGAGGAACAGAGCCGCUUGGUUUGUGGUGGCCCAAACCAGGCUAUACCGGCGGUCCGCCGCGGAAGAGGCCCCCCUGCGGCUGUGCAUGUCGUGGGAGGAUGGUAAAGCCAUCGCAAGAAGUAUCCACGAGGGGGCAAGCGGGGCGCACCAAGGCGGAAGGACGUUGGAAAAGCAAGUAGCCAGGCAGGGCUACUACUGGCCCGAGUCAAUAAAGGACUCAGAAGAAAUCGUCGACCGGUGUGACGAAUGGCAGCGGCACUCGAACGUCCAGAGGCAGCCGUCCACCAUGAUGAAGGCGGUAACGACACCUGUCCCGUUCGCAAGGUGGGGGAUCGACAUAGUCGGACCUUUCCCGCCGGCGUCAAGGGGAAGGAAGUUUCUGUUUGUAACAGUUGACUGCUUCACAAAGUGGGCCGAGGCGGAAGCCACAAACACGAUCACCGAGCAGAAUAUAGUGAACUUCGUCUUUAGAAGUAUCAUCUGCCGGUUCGGGGUCCCGAUCCAAAUAAUAACGGACAACAGGACGUAGUUCACGGGGAAGAAGUUAAGAGAAUUCUGCGAAGACAACGGGAUCAAGUUGAGCUUUGCGUCGGUGUACCACCCGCAGGUGAACGGACAAGUGGAGGUUACAAACCGGACGAUAGUGUCGAUCUUGAAAAGGAAAGUGGGCGAACACCUGGGAAACUGGGCGGACAUGAUCCCCGAGACUAUGUGGGAAUACUGCAUGACAAUCCGAACUCCCACGGGCCAGAAACCUUUCGCCCUGGCAUUCGGAAUCGAGGCGGUAGCGCCGGCCGAGCUGAUAUGGCCGACCGCUCGAAUCGAACAGUUCCAGCCAGGAGCGAGCGACCAAGCGCUAUUCCUAAAAAAAGAGCACCUGGAACAUCGGAGAGAGGAGGCGUCCAUCAGGGACCUCACUUACAAGCGAAGGGUGGCGAGGUACCACAACGAAAGGGUGGCCGAGAAGAACUUGGCACCGAGCGACCUAGUACUAAGAAACGCCAAGGUAACGGGGGUGGACCAGACGAAGGGGAAGCUAUCGGCGAAGUGGAAAGGCCCGUACGUCAUCAUGGAUGAGAUUCAUCCGGGUAUCUUCCGCCUAGGGUACGAGGACGGGCAAGAAAUAGAAAGGACUUGGCAUGCCGAUAAUCUCGAAAAAUAUAGGCGGUGACGGCCAGGGCACCACGCAGAUCCUACCUCUACCUCGGUGAUUUUUUUUCUUUCCCUUCAUAUAUAAUGUCAGGCCACCCGACCACAGCACGUGAUGCCCAAUGAAAGGCACCCAGAGUGCCCCCGUUAAUCGAAAGACAGCCCAGCCGACCACCAAAAAAAAAAAAGGAAAAAAAGAGAAAAAAAAUAAAGGGGGAGGCCGCCGAAAAGGCUAGCAGAAGGUUCCCAAGGUCGAAAGACCGCGCGGGAACGACGUUCGAAUGGCCCAGGCUGCCCCCUCGAAGGGAAAGCGCAAUAAGUAAGAACGCGAAAGCGAUACAUUGCGGGGAAAAAACUCUAAGUGUCGGAAAGGGGGAGGCAACGCCCGAUCCCCCGCGACAUAGACGAGUUGGGAACAAGGGAACGAAAACACUAAUUCAAAGCAGGUUCCGUAUAGUCAGGGAAGUCGACCUCGGGAUCUUUCUCUUCGCUGUCACUCACGUCCAGCGAGGGCUGGUAGUGGUGGAUGCCCGUUUCCUCUCAAUUCUCCCAAUCGCGAAUGCUCCGGGGCACGACAAGGCCGGCGAGGGAGGGGGGGGUGAACGAGCUCGCACAUCUUACGCUCGUGCAGGUAGCCUUUCCAGAAGCCGACGCGUUUCGAGUCCUUCUGCAUGUCGGCGUGGUCAGCUUCAACUCCCUCAGACGGGCCUCGAAGGUAGGCACGAAGGCCCCCACAAACUCGUCCUGGGCAGCGGUCACGGCGGCUGCAAGAGAAGCUUGGGCGGCGACGACACGGUUCUCCUCCUCCUCAGCCACUUUGAUGACCUUCGCAACUAGUUCAUCCCGCUCGCGCACGACAACGUCCCAUUCCUGCACGGCGACGUCCAGCUGUGUCUUCGCUUCGGCAAGCUCGACGCGCAUACGUUAGACCUCUUCGUCUUGGUGGAGGCCCUACUGCAAGCGAACUUUGGUGAAAACCGAAAGCUGAAGCAUCUGAUGGUUCAGAUCGCGGUCGAUGUCCGACGAGGGGUGAUCAAGCAACCGCACGUACUCGUCUUCCGUCCGCAACCAGGAGUCGAUGGAGGAGAGUUUUUUCUUAAAAAUUCCGCCAAGGCGGGGCAGGGAGGACUCAGGAUCGACGGCGGCGGUAAACUCGGCUGAAUGAUCGCAGCUCUUCACAAACGUGCGGAAAAGGUCAGGAUUCAUCCCAUCUUUCCGAAAAGUAGCCACGAGGUCGGCGGACAGGAAGUCGGAAGAAACCUGGAUCGGGGAAGACAAGAUCUCGACCUCAACUUCCUCCUCGACAACAGCCUUAGCUUUUCUCUUCUCAGCCAGAAGUUUCCUCCUUCGCUUCCUCUCGACCCGGGUGUUUUCAAGAGCAGAGUCGACCUCGGGGCGCCGGGGCGGGGGAGAAGGCAGGUCGAACUGGAUAGCGUCGUGCGACCGCUUUUUAUGCGAGUGUUUGGGCGGACCGUCCCGGGUGUAGUCCACCUUAAUGGGUAGAGUCAUGUGCUCAUCGUAGCUUCAAGACUGAGCCAACGUCCGAGCAUUGACGGCCCCACGGCGAUAGAUAUUGACCAGGAUGUCCUGCGCGUUCAGCGCCUGAGGCUGCAGCUGCGAGCGACUAGGAGAUGCGGUUCGGCUCUUCAGCUGCGUCAAAAGCGCCCAACGAGAGGGCGGCGGGCUCGCCAGGUCGAACGGGCCGAGAGCAUCCAAGGAGACAAAGAAAAACCGGUCGCGCCAGUGGAUCAAAAAGUGCGUUGCCGGACCUCUGCGCGACCAGCAGGCGGCGAGGGUCCAACGUCAUAGACGUCAUUGAAAACCAGAUGAGGAAGACCGGCACGGAAGCCUCGAUGCUGGCCCGGCGGCAGAGUAACGAGAACGUCGUCAGGCAAUCGAUGGCGGACGGGGGAAACUGGGAGAGGGAGAUGCCACAGAACCACACAGCUUCGGCUAUCAGAGAAGGGAGCGGGAGAGUCAGACCGACCUCGGCAUAAUUGGUGUAAAGGGUGACCAUGUCCUCCGGAGGCUGAGAGGCGAGGCGAUUCCCGACCUCAGUGAAGGCCAGAUCAGGCCGACCCAUCUUCGCCAGAGCUUCCCGGAUCCCGGCGGCGCUGAAGACGGACAGUGGGUUCUUACCAUCCGGAGUGGCAAAGAGGCUUUCCGCUAAGGCGGAACCAGCAACAAGGAGAGGAGCAGUCAUGAGUAGUCUGGAGGAAAGAAAGAAAUCGCAAGUGAGAGAGGUGAGCGCGAGAGCGGAAGUGGAAAUGAAAUUCAAACGCGAGUGUGAGGGGAAGUAAAGGGGUUUAUAUAGGGAUUGGGUGGCGCAGAAGACGAGGCGUCGCAUUUACCUGAAGUUGAUGGGACGGAGCGGGCCAGGAAGCUUCCGAGGGAGCCCACGACCCAGACCGUCGGGAAGCAGAGUGAAGGUCAGCGUCGGGCGCGGAUGGCGGGGCCUCAGGGGGGCGUCGGGAGAAGAGCCUGGCGCGCCCAACGACCAAACAGAGCAGGUAGGACGGGGCGGGGGCAUCCAAGCAAGGUCCCCUACGGGCCCGUUUGGCGGGCCGAAUGAAACAACGUAACGAGUGGGACCCCCCACGAUGAGGGGGAAGGAGGAACGAAGGAGGAGCGUCGACGAAGGAGGGGUUUGCACCUGGUAGCGGGGGCGAAGCUCGAGAAGGGCCCGGGCAACGUCAGCAGAGGACGCCGAAUAGCGUAAAACUGCACUAACGUGCAAGGACGAAAUCAAAACGCGAAACGUGAAAAAGCGAAGAAAAAGCAUAGUACUAAAGCAAAGCAAGGAUUACAAUAACCGACGACACGGCGGAAAAAAAAAGAAGAAGAAAAAAACAACAACAAAGUACGGGUGCAGCAAGUAAAGAGAAAAAAAAUGACGUCAGGGCAUCCCGGGCACCGCCCCACGAAGGCAAGCCCACCACCCGAAAGGGCAUGGGAGUGGGCGCAGAUAGCUCCAGGGCGGGCCCCGGCUUCGGGGACCCCAACAAGAAAUGGCGCAGGUCAGUAGCCGGAAGGGACGAGGACCCACGGGAGCGACGGUGGCCGCGCGACCGACGACGGCGGCCGGUAGCCUCGGCAGGAACAGCAGCAGGAACUGCAAUCGUGCCAUGAGCGUGAAAGAUGUGCGAGGUCCCAACGGAGCCCGAGUCAGCAGCAGGAGCGGUGUCAGGGGGGCGACAGCAGGCCGGCUCGCAAGGAGAUCGGAGCGGCGGACCUGAGAGAGACGACGGUGGACGUCGAUCAGCGCAGCGUUGAGACGUUGAGUCUCAGCCAUGGCCACGCUAUUGGGGACGCCAGCAAGCGACAACAGACACAUAGCCCACGCGGCGUGCUGGAGUUGCACUUCGCGGCCAUAUUCUUCAAGAAUAUCCCAGAUGCUCAUUGCGUAGAAAGGAAGGGAUGAGAAACCAAAGUAGCAAGCGCCCUAUUUAUAGGAGGGGGAAAGGGGGAACAGCUUGAACCUCGAGGAGCCUUCAAGACUAGUAAAGAGGGGAUGGUGGAGGCCAAGCGCGAACGGGUGCCCCCCGAGCCCGGGCCCAUCGAGGAAGGGGAGAGUACUGUUGGUACCAUGGACUGCGGACUGAAUGAGCGGCCUUCGAGGCCCAGAUGCACGAAUGGGCCCGAAGGCGCAGGGGGGCCGGGUGGCCCAGGAUCAAUCACGGGACACUAUAAAUACCUCCCUUGGUCCAUCAGGGGAGGGGGUUGACAAUCGGAGUAACACUUGUAAUAUAUAGGUUAGGUCGACGAGCUUGGUCCGGCGAGCUCACGUACCAACAGAUGCCAUACAAGUAUGCCUAGCGCGUCGGUUGGGGCUCGGGAAGGGUUCCAGUUUUCUUCAAUGCUGGGAAUACCUACCUUUAAUUUGAAGUCAGCAUGAGCUUGGUAUCUCUAUGGUUCCCCUCUUUCUGCCUCUUUUCUUAGGGCUUUCCCUCUACCUUCGAAACUUUGGAUUUUGACGUGGAGGCUCCGUCCUUUAGGUAUAAGCUGCAUAUGCACUCCUCUUAUGUCAUUGUCGUGUCAGUUUGAACUUUGGCUCGAGGCAGUCCUUACUCCUCGACAUUCGUUACUCCUUAGGCCCGCUCCAUGGUAUAUGCGAAAUAUGCAUGAUCUCGUACAGGUCGAUCGUGAAUAAGGUUGGUCUAAGGUCGUUGUUGAGGGUCAUCUGUACUGCUUCCUCCUGAAUAUCGUCUAUUUUUUGGAUGACGGUUGCAAAACGAUUCAUGUAAUCGUACGUGGUCUCUUUUUUUCCUGUACGUAUUACGCUCAACAACGUAGUCCUUAUCUUUUUCUUCUAGAUUCAAUGGCUGAUGAAUGUGACCUUGAAGGUUCUCUUCAACUCCUCAUACAUGUGUAUGCUUCAUGUGGGGGGUCCCCGAUACCAUCUGACAGUGUCACAUGUCAAAGUUCUUCGGAACAUCUGACAUAAAAUAUCCUUUCUUAUCCAACAUGUUCUCCAUACCUGUUUAAAACGAGGCAGCGCGUACGCCGUUAGUGUCGACGUUCUCUACCCUGAUGGACAUUCCUCCGACAACAGGUGGUGUGUCAAUGCCUCCCUCUUCCCUUGUUGAAGCUCGAUUUGGAUUAUGGAUGGUGACCUGACCCUCUCACUGCCAUCAACGUUUUCCCUGAAGUUGUCUCUGACUCUCUUGUAGUCUCGCGAUCACCAACCAGAUCUUGUCAUUCGUAUGCCAUUCACUUCCUUUAGGUACGUUCUCUUCUUCAUGGAUGCCUUUUUCUGCACCCCUGACAUUUUUGACGGGCUAUCUCUAACCUCGCUCGUCACUCGCGUCUAGACCUUCUUUCCAUAGGGAAUGGAGAUCAGUUGCGGAUGCGAUUCAUACCUCUUUGCCUCUCGAGCCGAUGUCUGACCCUCUCGUGCAAUAUUAAGUGAGAUGGUUCUGACUCAUAAUUCGGCAGUCCCUAGGUAGGGUCUUUUCUUCGUCCUUGUUGCGUAUCACGAAUAAUCACAUUUGUCGGCGGACCUUCCGUUCUUUGUGGAGUCUUCUUCCUGAUCUUUUCGUGACUUGCCUCCAUUUAGCUGGAAUGACGGAAAUUCUCAUCAGUGUUGUGUGUUUACGUCAAGUUCACCGUAUGGUGAGUAAGCGUGCCCUUACACCAACUCCCUCAUUGAAUUUAUCUAAACCUUAAUCAAUGAACAAUCACUCAUCCCUUCUAUAUUCACUCUCUUGUUCUUUCUAUAUUCUUGAGUGGCAAAAGAUCAUUGGGAACAAAUAUAGUGGUGGGGAGAUCAUUGACCUCACUAAAAGAAUUUCCUAUUUUUUAAUAUGUAGACAAAGAUUUAAAUAUUUAAUAAUUCUUCUUAUGUUUUUUCCCCUGCCAAUUUUGACGCUUGCUUUGUUUGACUCUGAAAUAUUAGAAAGUAAAUUAUCACCAACCAUACCCACCACUACCGGCGGCCAGUGCCACCUGUUAACUGUUAAGAUCUAAAUGUGUAAGGCUGCAACCUGCAAGCAUCUAAGGAUUACAUAUGGUGGGUCCGAUCACAGAUGAUGGGUCCCACUCACAUUAUCUCACCAAACACGUUUAAUUCCACUAAGUGUUAAAUUCUACAUGUUCGUGUACCAAUUUUCAAACUGAUAAUAUUUUUAUUAUUAUUUCUAACUACCAUCAAAUUCAAAAUCGGACUAAUUUUUUCAUACGAUAGAAAUGGACCAGUCGAUUAAAUUUGGUUUAAGGGUGGGCCGUUGAUCUAAUUCUAAAAAUUUGGUAUUUUGGUGGGUGAAAAACUGAAAAUGAAAUAAAUUAAUAAUAUUAUUGUCGGAUAUAAAAAUGAUAAAUGGUCCAACCCACCUACCCUUUUUUUUUUUUUACUGUAUAAAUCCCUAUCGUCCUUCCUACCUUCUUUCUUCCAAUUAUUGAUUCAUUCGCAGAAGUCACCAACCCACGCACGGCGGCACGACUUCACGACGAUGGCAACUUCCACCGCUUCUGCAUUUCUAUCUUCCAACUCCCUCCUCCUCCGCCACCCUCAACAACCUCAGAUCAAGCCACACAGCUCCUCCUCCUUCCUGCGAAUUUCCGCCGUAACGAAUCCGGACCAAAAUAAGAAAUCAGUCGCCACUCCUCCGGCAGCCGCUUCCCCCGUCGCCACACCCGUCACUACACCCGGAUCAGGAAAAUGGUCGGUGAGCACCUGGAAAACAAAGAAAGCUCUGCAACUACCUACGUACCCCGACGUCAAAGAUCUGGAAUCUGUGCUCGGCACCAUCGAAACCUUCCCGCCUAUUGUCUUCGCCGGUGAAGCUCGUCAUCUCGAGGAGAAACUUGCAGAGGCUGCUAUGGGUAGAGCGUUUCUUCUACAGGGAGGUGACUGCGCUGAGAGCUUCAAGGAGUUCAACGCCAACAACAUCAGGGACACUUUCCGUGUUCUCCUCCAGAUGGGCGCCGUCCUCACCUUUGGAGGCCAGAUGC